AACUGCUUUUCCCCAGCCUCAAGCCAACAAGACGGCGUACGACACUUCUGUCCAUACAAAGCUUGAUAAGGUGCCAUCUUAAUGCUCGAGUGAAAACUAUUAUUAUAGGAAAAUUCUACCAAUGGUAAAUGUUCAUCCCAAUUACCUAGGAAUUCCAAGGUACAUGCUCUCAGCAUAUCUUCAAGUGUUUGUAUUGCUCUUUCACUCUGACCAUCAAUCUACGGAUGGUAAGCUGUACUUAAACACAACUUGGUACCCAUUUCCUCUUGUAGACUUUUCCAAAACCAUGAGGUGAAAUGGCUGUCAUGAUCCGACACAAUCGUUAACGGAACACCUGAAGCCUCACAAUUUCCUUCACGUAAGAACUUGCAAGCUUUUCCAUAGACCGUUUCUCAUUGGCUGCUAUGAAAUGCGCACUCUUAGUGAAUUGAUCAACGACCACCCAAAUCAUGUCGUGACCAUUCUUUGUUCUGGGCAGUUUAGUGACAAAAUCCAUAGCAAUGUCUUCCCACUUACCCAUAGGCACAGGCAAUGGUUCUAAACUCCCGUAAGGUUUCUGAUGUUGUGUCUUGACUCUCGCACAAGUCACACACUCGGCCACAUACUUUGCAACAUCAAGCUUCAUCGUCGGCCACCAGUAGUAGGGUUUCAGGUCCCUAUACAUUUUAGUGCUACCCGGAUGAAUUGAGUACAUGGUUUUGUGAGCUUCUUCCAUCAGAAGAUCCCUAAUUCCUCCUGACUUAGGUACCCAAAUACGAUCUUGGAAUACCUUCAGUCCAUGACCGUUAGUACCAAACACCAACGUUUUACCCAAACGUUCCUCCUUUCGGUCAUUUUUCUCAGAAGCUUCCUCUUGAGCUUUCUUUAUACUUUCCACAAUUGUCGAGACAACUUCAAUUCUCAACGCUCUUGGCCUCUUCCUUUCAAUAUUGACUUUCCGACUGAGAGCAUCAGCAACAAUAUUAGCUUUACCAGGGUGGUAAAGUAUCUCACAAUCGUAGUCCUUGAGUAACUCUAGCUAGCGUCAUUGCCUCAUAUUUAACUCUUUCUGAUUGUAGAAAUAUUGGAGACUCUUAUGAUCAGUGAAAAGUUUGCACUUCGUGCCAUAGAGGUAAUGCCUCCAUAUUUUCAGAGCGAAAACUACCGCUGCCAACUCCAAAUCAUGAGUCGGGUAAUUCUUUUCAUGCUCUUUCAGCUGUCGAGACGCAUAUGCUAUCACCUUUUCUCUUUGGGUCAAAACACAACCCAAUCCAACACCAGACGCAUCGCUAUAAACAACGAAGUCUUCAACUCCAUCGGGUAGAGAAAGUAUCGGUGCCUCGCAUAGCUUCUCGAAUGCUUCUUUAUGCUUAUCAUUCCAAGCAUAAGUAGCUCCUUUGUGGGUCAAAGCUGCUAAUGGAGUAGCAAUCGAAGAAAAGCCUUGGAUAAACCUUCAGUAAUACCCGGCUAAUCCUAAAAAGCUUCGGAUCUCCGUGGGAAUUUUCGGCUGUUCCCACUUCAUUACAGCUCCAAUCUUUGCUGGAUCAACCAUUAUCCCUUCUCGGUUGACCACGUGACCCAAGAAUUGGACUUCACGAAUCCAAAAAUCACAUUUAGAGAACUUUGCAUACAACUUCUCCUUCUUCAAGACUUCUAACACUUCUCGCAAGUGACUGCUAUGCUCCUAUUGGCUUUUCGAAUAAAUUAGAAUGUCGUCUAUGAACACUAUCACAGAUUUAUCAAGGAACGGAUUACAAACCUUAUUCAUCAAAUCCAUGAACGCUGCUGGAGCAUUGGUUAGUCCAAACGACAUAACCAAGAACUCGUAGUGUCCAUAUCUAGUUCUGAAUGCAGUCUUCUCGAUAUCUUGCUCUCUUACUUUCAGCUGAUGAUAUCCUGACCUAAGAUCGAUCUUCGAGAAAUAGCUCGAACCUUGCAAUUGAUCAAACAGGUCAUCAAUCCUCGGCAACGGAUAUCUAUUCUUUAUUGUUGCCUUGUUCAGCUCUCUGUAAUCGAUGCACAUUCUCAUACUUCCAUCUUUCUUCUUUACAAAUAACACCGGAGCUCCCCAGGGCGAUGAACUAGGUCUAAUGAAACCUUUGUCCAAUAACUCCUGAAGUUGCAUCAUUAGCUCCUUCAUCUCCGUCGGUGCUAAUCGAUAAGGUGCUUUUGCUAUUGGCGUGGUUCCUGGUAACAAGUCUAUUCUGAACUCCACUUGUCUAUCAGGUGGUAAUCCAGGAAGAUCCUCGGGAAAUACUUCCGGAUAAUCACACACCACUGGAAUACUCUGCAUCACCUUCUUUUCUUUCUUAGCAUCAAUCACGAAUGCUAAAUAUGAUGUACAUCCCUUGGUCAAACACUUUCUGGCUUUCAUUAGAGAAAUGAUUCCAGAAUUCACUCUGCGUUUGUCCCCAUACACCAUAAACGAAUCUUUCCCAGGCGGGUUUACUUUAACUAUCUUCUUCUUGCACAAAAUUUCGGCAUCAUUGGCGCUAAGCCAAUCCAUUCCCAAGACGAUGUCGAAACCAUUUAGUUCGAUAGGCAAUAAUUCCUCGAGAAACUUAUUCCCAUUAAGGUCGAUCAAGACGUUUUUCAUACGAUGGCUAACAGGUACAAACUUGCCACUAGCUACUUCGACUAAUAAAGCAUUAUUUAGUCUAUCAACAGGCAAAGCUAGCUUUCUACCAAACUCAUGCGAAAUAAAGGAGUAGUUGGCUCCAGAAUCAAACAAUAUAUGAGCAGGUAAUUCGUUUACGAGAAAGGUACCUGAAGCGACAUCAGCUUCAUCUUUCGCAGCCUCAAGUGUCAUCUGGAAGGCUCUCGCCUUCGGCUUUGGUGGAAUGUUGGGCCUAGCUGCCUCCUUCUUCUUCGGACAGUCUUUCAAAAUAUGCCCCUCUUCAUUACACCCAAAACACAUCCUUUUGUUGUUCGGACAUUCAUUGGCAAAAUGUCCAACCUUUCCACACUUGUAGCAGGUUACAUCCUCGCUACAUUUCCCAAAGUGCUUUUUCCUACACUUAUCACACCACUUCGCUUCGCCUCCUUUUCCUCCAAACUUUUUCGAAUCAAAUUUCGAAAAUUUACUCUUCUUACUGGAACCAGAUGUUCCUUCAAACUUCCUUUUCUCACCAACCUCAACCUUGUCGGUGGUUCUCCCCUUUAUCAUGUUCUCCACAGACUUGGCAGCCCAGAUAGCUGCCUCUAGAGUAAGUGCCUGACGUACCGGCACCUCGUACUCCCAUGGGAGUCCCUUCGCAUACCGGUCCACCUUUUUCAACUCGUCUGGGACGAUACGCAUGGAAAACUCCAUCUUAUCGGUGAAGUUAUUGGUGUAUUCAUCAACUGACAUGCUGCCUUUCGUCAAUGCCAAAAACUUAUUCUCCAAUUCCAAUAGAUUUUGAGCCGAGCAGAACUUGCGCUUUAACUACGCCAAGAACUCUGCCCAUGUCAAUUGCAGUGGCUCAUUAGGGCUCAACGUCUUCCCUAGAGUGUUCCACCAACGAAUGGCUCCACCUUGGAACUGACGCACUGCGUAUAUAGUCUGCAACUUGCCUCUACAGCCACAUGUCAUAAAGGCUAACUCCAUUUCGGAGAUCCAAUCCAUAACCCCAAUCGGAUCCUCCUUUCCAUUGAAGGUCGAUGGUUUACAAGUCAAAAAGUCCUUGUACUUGCAUCCCAUUCCAUCAUUCCUUCCAUCAUGGUUAUCUUGCCUAACUAUCGGUGGGUUGGCUGGACCAACAGACCCACUGAAGUUUCCACCUUCCGAGUGCCCUUCAUUUAAUUCAGGCUCUUCCACACGAAUCGACAGUUCUUCACGAUUUUGUUGAAGCAACCGUCUAGUUUCAUCCAUCUGACGAUCCAACAUCGUCUGAAUCAUCAAUUGCACACCAGCCAUGGUUAUUGGCUCAGGUGCUGCUGCUACGACAGGUAUUGGCUCAAUCACUGGUGGUUGAUUCCUGUUUUCGUCAGCAUUUCCAACUCCACUUCUUGUUCUCACCAUUUUGAUCUACACACCGAAUAAGGUGAAAUUAGAUCCUCAAUCAUGAUAGAUAUUCAAAUCAUCCUUAUCACUCCGAAACGUUUACAUGCUAGUUCUAAUAUCGUAGACGUACGCUUAGAAUCCUACACACAUAAGGUUUCUAGAUCCGGUCGGCAACAGACCAUAGAUCCGAACAAAUAAUAUCAUAUAUGGCAACAUAUAACAUUUAGCACAUAAAGCAUUUUAGGCAACUUUCCUAAAAUAAACUAGUGCUCGUGUCUAAANNNNNNNNNNNNNNNNNNNNNNNNNNNNNNNNNNNNNNNNNNNNNNNNNNNNNNNNNNNNNNNNNNNNNNNNNNNNNNNNNNNNNNNNNNNNNNNNNNNNNNNNNNNNNNNNNNNNNNNNNNNNNNNNNNNNNNNNNNNNNNNNNNNNNNNNNNNNNNNNNNNNNNNNNNNNNNNNNNNNNNNNNNNNNNNNNNNNNNNNNNNNNNNNNNNNNNNNNNNNNNNNNNNNNNNNNNNNNNNNNNNNNNNNNNNNNNNNNNNNNNNNNNNNNNNNNNNNNNNNNNNNNNNNNNNNNNNNNNNNNNNNNNNNNNNNNNNNNNNNNNNNNNNNNNNNNNNNNNNNNNNNNNNNNNNNNNNNNNNNNNNNNNNNNNNNNNNNNNNNNNNNNNNNNNNNNNNNNNNNNNNNNNNNNNNNNNNNNNNNNNNNNNNNNNNNNNNNNNNNNNNNNNNNNNNNNNNNNNNNNNNNNNNNNNNNNNNNNNNNNNNNNNNNNNNNNNNNNNNNNNNNNNNNNNNNNNNNNNNNNNNNNNNNNNNNNNNNNNNNNNNNNNNNNAGCAUAAACGAUAACAUUACAAGUCAUUCAACAAAUAUAUACAUAUACAGACUUGUAAACAAAACAACUUGAUGAUUCAUCCAUCUUAUGCCCUUGCGCCACUUCCUGUAAUACAAAUAAACUGAGUGGGUCAGGCUUGGGAGCCUGGUGAGCAUAUAGGGUUUUCAACCCACAAUAAAUAAUUAUAUUUAAUUUCCACCAACCAACAAUAACCCAAUUACCCAUUCCCGUUAUUCUCACUUUACGUCCCUAAGACAACUAACAUAAGGGACCUAGUCUAAGAAUAUUUCAUCGGGGCGACAACACAUGCUUCGGGGGUUCCUCAGCAAUAUAAGUCAAAUAAGGAAACCAUGAGGGGGAUGGAAUACAACGAAUGAACACCCAAGUUCAUUAACACCUACAGGUUAUGAGCCUGCUAGCGUUCCACUGGACUGUCUAGAAAAGUUCGUGGUCGUCAUCUAAAUUCCGCUAGAUGACUGGAUCAAAACAACAUCGAGGCCUCUCAUCUAUUUAUUACACACCAACUAUCUACCCAUGUUCUACCCAACAUAUUAGUAGAUAAAAUAUACAUUUUUAUACAUAGUUUCAAAACCUGUAUAACAUGCUCAAUCAAUACAUUUUCCACAUAACAGAUGAGGCACACACACAUAACACGUAUUUCCUAGAUGACUGGAUCAAAACAACAUCGAGGCCUCUCAUCUAUUUAUUACACACCAACUAUCUACCCAUGUUCUACCCAACAUAUUAGUAGAUAAAAUAUACAUUUUUAUACAUAGUUUCAAAACCUGUAUAGCAUGCUCAAUCAAUACAUUUUCCACAUAACAGAUGAGGCACACACACAUAACACGUAUUUCAUAGAGAAAUAAUCAGAUCUAUAAGAUAGAAGAAAGUGAAUAUACAUUCACACACAUAACAAAAAAAUAUACACAUAACACGUAUUUCGUAUAAAAUACUUCAUAAUUAUGCGUUAGAAGAAAGUAACUACACAAUCACUUGAUCAGAAGAUGAUCAGACAACACAACGACUUAUAGAAGUAGUAUUCUUCAGCAGAUCUAGAAGAUCUUCACAAAAAAUCGAACUCCUCGUGGGCAGAGCUUCGGCUCGGGGAUCGCACUUCUCGGGAUCUCGGGAGCGUAAAACUUCCUUCUUAACUUGGAUAUGAGAUCCGAGGUGUCGGGAUGGCUUUGGGGGUUUACACGCAGAGCUUCGGCACGAAAAAGAGAAGAAUUGAGCAAAUAUGCCCGGAACCCUCGCAUCCUAUUUAUAGGAGGCUGAAGCCUCGCAGUACGCUAGGCGUACAGCCGUACGCGGGGUGUACGCGUCCGAAUUCGUCGCUGCAUGCGUCAUCUAAAGAACUCGAGCGCGAGGCGUGUCAUGCUUUGCUGUACACCGGGCGUACUUCGGAUCAGAUCGGUGACUCCUUCAGAUAUACAUCCGAAUUAAAGAUUAAAUUUAAAUAUUAAUUAUUUAAUAAACUUCGGAAAUUCAUAUCUUCUUCAUACGAACUCCGUUUUCGACGUUCUUUAUAUCCACGCAUUGGUGAGACUACGCUCUACAACUUUCGUUUAGACUCCGUCGGCUAAUUUUAUUUUAUUUUUAUUAUUUAUUUUUAGUAGGCCCGGACAGGAAAGCUUCGUUAUAAAUUCAUAACUUCUUCGUCCGACGUUCGUUCUCGCCUAACCUUUCAUCGUUUCGCUACUAACAACGAGAUCUUCGAUUCUCGUUUAGAUUGUUUCGGUUAAAAACCGCUCGAUCUCAAAUCGAGUAUUCGGGCUGGAUACCGCUAAGUCGAAACUUCAAAAAAUCGUAACUUCCUUAUACGAAGUCAGAUUUGGGCGUUCUUUUUGUGCACGCUCUCGGUUUAACGAACUCUACGACUUUCAUUUAGAUCACUAAGGUUAGAUAUCACUCUAUCUUAAAUUCAUAUUUUACGUCAUUCGACGUCGUGCUGGUUCUGUCGCGAAACUUCGACAGGUCAUAACUUCUUCGUUAUAACUCGGAUUUUGGCAUUCCUUAUAUCUCUGGAAUCCUUGUUUCGACCACUACAACUUUAUAUAAAGAUAUCGGGCUUAUCUCACACUUCAAUUUUGACGCUUAGUUUUAUCAUUUAUUAAUUAUAUCUUUAUAAUUAAGUAAUAAGCACACAAUUACACAUAAUUCACAUAAUACUCAAAUAUUUCAUCAUUAAUACUUCAAAAAGAGUUACAAGGGUUAACCUAGACUAUUACAUCAACGAAAAUGCCUAGCCUGGAAACGCGGGCAAUACACAAAGAUAAAGUGGAAGAUUAGCAAAGUUAAGCAUCGAUCAAGUUGCUUCAAUGAGAGUUCUAUUUCUUCUUUCAACCACACUAUUUUGUUGAGGAGUGUAGGGAGUAGAGAAAUUUUGGUCAAUGCCUUUGUCAGAAAGGAAUUUCUCAAUGAUGAAAUUGGUGAAUUCUGAGCCAUUAUCAUUUCGGAUUCGUCUUACAGCUAAUUUGACGAGAACUUCAAUUCCUUUGAUAAAGUUGAUAAUUUCAGAAGCUGUCUCGGAUUUCAACCUAAGGAAGAAGGCCCAGGUGAACCUUGUAAAAUCAUCAAUAAUCACAAUAAAGUACUUUUUAGAUGCAGAGUUUCUGCAUUGGAGGGUCCACAAAGAUCAAUAUGCAGAAGUUCUAAUGGUUUCGAAAUUGAUUUUUCAAUAUUAACAGAAUGACCUUUCUUUGAUUGCUUUUCACACUUACACGCAACACACAAGUGAUCAUUUUCAAACUUGAGGAGUGGCAGACCUUUGACCAUUUCACCGGAAAAAAUAUCAUUCAUAUAUCGAAUUAGAUGUCAUAACCAACUGACGCCAGGAACAACUUUCGAGAGUAGAUAGAGUUGAGGCUUGUCAAUGGUUAUGUUAAUGUCUAUAGGAUACAUAUUCUUGUUGCGAUACGAUUUAAUUAGACAUUCUUUCUGAUCUUCUGUCAUGACGUAGCUAUACUUUUUGAAGAACUCAACUCUUCGGUUAGAGUCAGUGAGUUGAGCCACACUAAUCAGGUUGUGCUUCAGGUCAGCUACGUAUGCCACAUUUGAGACUGAGAAAUUGUCAUUGGUGUGGAUGCCAUAACCUUGAAUAUGAGAAUUGGAGGUGUUUUCAUUCAUCACAUAGCCAACAUUUGGUGAGAGUUUAAGAUCACGCAGAAAGUCUUUCUGCCCCGUCAUGUGCAUGGAACAAGUACUAUCAAUAUACAAUAUUGUAUCUUGUUCCAAAGCACAGAGUACCUGAAAAAUUAGUGAAUUUUGGAGUUUUUAGGCUCCGAGGUAGGUUUUGGGACUUUGGCACGGGCUUUGGACUUAGGUUGUGACUUUUCAGCAAUGGUAGUCUCGGAGGGUUGGUUCCAAAAUACUUUUGGUAAGAAGCAAACAAGCCAUGGUAUUUUCAUUGAUCCAUAAAUCAUAUUCAACAACAGGUUGUUUGGGAACAACUUUUCUUGGACCAACAAUUUUUGGAAUUGUAGGAAUCACAGUGUCACUUGAAGUUAUAGUUUCUUUUUCAACACUUUUAACUUUCCACUCAAAUUUUUGUUUUGAAUAAUUUGAAAAUUUUCGAGUAACAGUGUUCUUAUCAACUCAUUCUUUGUUUGCUACUUUUGAUGGCACAUUUGGUUUUGAAAGCUGUUGUGGUUUGAAAAUUGUACCAUCAGAUUUAGCAAUGAAUACAGAGGAAACUGUCCAAGAAGAGUUAGUUUUGGUGGGACGAGUAUCAACAACAGUGUUUUUCGGAAUGGGGCUGAGAACCUUGUUUUGAGCUACCAAACUAGGAGGAUUGGAUGGCCUUUUAAGAGUAUUAGCAGGCACAAAUGUGUUGUGGUUCCUAAUGGAUGGGUUAACAGUUCGAGAUACUUUCUUCUUAGAAUUCUCAAUGAAUUUGGAAUCAUGUCUUGACCUAAUUUCCUUUUUUAGGGCAUUUUUUGCUUCUAUCUUAGGAUCGGCGACAUCUUUCCUAUUUAACAAAGGUUUCUUCCUGGAUUCAGAUGAUGACUUGGAAGUUUGGCCAAUAGACGGGUUAUUAAACUUAGGCUUGAUUGGAACAAGGGUUGUUUUUGAAAUCACUUGAGAAUUAGAAACACAAGAGUCAGAUAAAUAAUCACCUAAGGUUUCUUCUUCAACAUCACUAUCUAAAGAUGCCCAACCAAAAUAUGAUCUAUCAGAGUCAGGUCCAGUUGUCUCUGGAAUUAUUUCCUCAACAACAUAAUUGUUAGGAGGACCGAGGUUCAUAAUCUGAACUACGGUAUGUAUGAUGCUAGGGAAUGAUUCUGAGAUUUGAUUCAGGUCCAGGUGUAUCAGAGGCGGAAGGGGCAAGGAAUCAGGACAUUUGACAACUAUGGAUUGAAACUCAGGAAUCAGAGAUUGAAACUGGUUCGAUGUAUCCAAAUGUUUGUGGUUCGGAAUGUCUCCCAUAAAAGUUAAAUUUUGUAACUCCUUUAAGGGACGAGAAAUGAGUUUCAGAAACUCGCUCCCGAGACCAGGUGCUUUGGACCAAGGAUGAUGAAAAUUAUGAUUCGUCCGUUCAGUUGCUUCAAGAAUAUCUAUGGCAUGAUGUAAAGCAUCAAUUUUGGCAUUUAGACGUUCGUUAUCAGAAAUUAAAGCAUUCCUUUCAGAAUAAUUGAUUUUACAUUUGUCUUUAAGAAUGAUACAUUCAUCUUAAGACAUUACAAGCUCUCUUUCUCUCUCUCUCUAAUGAUUAUAUCUUAAGCUUCCUAUCCUUGAAACGUAAUUUAAGAUGAGUCAAUUCACUUUCCAUGUUCUCACUCGCUUCUAUGGAAAACUCAUUUAUUAUCAGUAAUCAUAGAUUUUACGUGUUGAACGAUGCUUCUGCCGGGUGGAUCGUUGGUUGCCAUGUAGCAAAAGUUUGGCUCAACAACUUCAUCAUCUCCUUUUGAUCUUGAUGAUCAGUAUCCUUCAUCAUAUUCUAUCAUUUGUAUAGCCAUAAUAUACAUGUUUGUUCUAGUGCUCACAUCUUCCUCAUCUCCAGAUGACCAAUACCCUUCAACAUCUUUUGUCAUAGUGAUGACGAACGCUUUUUUACUUACAAACAUCUCUUGGGCUCGGCGGGCAUAGUAUGCAGAAUCCUUGAUCUUUGGUUUCUGUAUAGCUUCAGCCAUACAAUAUUUUGCAAAGGGAUUUCCAUGACCACAUUUGUGACAAACUAUCUUGGGUUUGUCUAACUUCAGAUUAUCUCGAGAUUCUGAAGGAUGACUUGGUGUAGAAAUGUUGGGAUUAUAAGCAGGUGGUUUCUCUAUAGGUUUAUGAAAUGGUUGAGGAUUACUCUGGUGAGGGGCUUGGAAACGGUUAUGAUAUGGUUUGUGGAGUUGGAUUCCAUGGACGCAUGUAUUUCAUGGAUAGUAAAGAAAACUCUUGUUGAAAGCGAAGUUCGGAGUCCAUCACUUCAGGAUCAAGGUCUCCUUCAAAAUGAUAGUUGGAAUUAGUAGGAACAGUUAAAUCUGGUGGAGUGGGUUGAACAGAUGGAAUGGGAGGGAUAACAGCUUUGAAAGGGUCCGAAACGGAGGGUUUCGAGACUUGACGAUCAAAAGAACUAACAAGAGCUAGAGGACCUCCUGAGAGUUCUCUCAAUGUUUUUGCAACAUUUGAUUCAUGUCCUUGUAGCUCAUCAAACAACUUGUAAAGCUUUAGCUCCUUCAUAGAUCCAUUUCUUUGAAGACAAGAUUUUAAGUUUCCCCAUCCUUUACCAAGAGUAUUGAUGAAUUUGAGAUUGUAUUCUAGCGGAGUUCGGACAAUCCCAUGAGUUUUCAUGUUGUUGACGAUCAUUCGAUACCUAUUGGAGGUCGAGGCAACUAAUUCACCGGGAGUAGUGGUGAAGGUAUCAAACUCAUUGAAAAAUGAAGUCAUAUGCUUAUCCUGCAAGUUUUCUGAUCCCUCUGACAGAUCUUGGAGUGUCCCAAAUCUCUUUAGCAUAUUUGCACAACUUAAUGUGCUCAAAGAGAGAAAGAGGGGCACCAAACACCAUCUUGGAAAAUACAACUUGAUAUGCAUGCAGUUUCUCGAUGUCGGUAGCAGUAAGAGGUGUUGGGCGCUGUUCUUGUUGACCCAAGAGAGUUGCAGCGGCAUCCCUCACAGUUUGUUUGACUGGAACAUGUGGACCUUCUUUCACGGACCUCCAUAUUUCUUCACAUUUUUCCUUACCUAGUAAGAAUCUUUCCAUUCUGACUUUCUAGUGAUCAUAUUCUUCAAUAACUAGAAGUGGGGCACGAGAAGGGCAAUGCAUGCUAUUUGCUAUUUGCAUUGAAUACAUUUGUUAAGAAUUAGGAACAACCAUUGAAGUUAAGAUAUGAGAGUAGAAGCGAUAUAUAGAAGAACUUUUAUCUUGAACACAUAAAUGAUUGAAAUACCAAGGUAAUUUCAAAUCAACUAUAAUAUGUUCUUAUGGAUUUAAAGGACAACCACUCAAGAUUUGAUACCAACUAUGAGUACGAUAAUCAAUGUGCAAGGACAAGGUUUGAAAACUCGAACCUUGAGUUAUUCUUUAAUAUCAAUGUCUGCUCUUAAUAUAGAGUUCCAGUCGAAUCUGGUAAGCCGGUUAGGACUUGAAGAUAAAUAUUCAACAAAGUGUUCAACUAAUAAAUGAAGUAAACUUGAGUAUAAUCAAUGCAAAGAUAUUUAAAGAACAAGAAGAAUGUUAUGAAAGAACUUUGAAUUGAAGGAAAGUGAAAGGGAUGUGAAGAGAUAAUUUUCUAUUCUUGGAUUACCACUUGAAUCGUUCACAUGUCUUAAAAUGGAGAAACAUUCACUCCUUAUAUAGUGUAGGAGGAACAUAGUAAAAACUAGAAAACAUUCUUAUGACUGGUCAACAGUUAGUGUUUGACAAACUGAUAUCUAAAAGACACAAAUAAAUAAGUGUAAGAGUCAAAGUGUAUUAUAAGGUUUCGAAGGUGAUGUAGUAUUCGAAAGUUAUGUAAUGUUAUUGCAAAGGCAUCGUUGUUUUGAAACUGUAAUGUUUAGUCCUUUGUAUUUUUUGUGUGCUUUCUAUUCUCCUAUAAAUAGGGAAGGAUAUGGUAGAUAGAUAGAACUUUUUCUACACUUCUGUAUAAUUCUCUUUGUAUCGUGAAAGCAUAAUAUGAGCUGAAACAAGAUUAUAUUUACUCUGAGUGUUCUUAAUUAUGUUUGUUUUCUGAUCUUGUUUCACUACUUGAUUAAAUCACUACUACAUUUGGUAUCAAAGUAGGAAUCAUACUGCAAUGAUCUGAUUUUCAUCUUGUAUCAAUAGUAUUUUGAGUAUCGUAUUGGAUACAAAAGUUUCCGCACUUUUGAUACUGAAAAUCAUCUUUGAUCUUCAGUUGUGAUUCGCUUCUGCAACUAGUUUGUUUAAUAGAGUGUUCUGCUUGCUUUUUCUGAUCAAUUCAUCCAUUAAUUCUCAAAUUUCUGAAUUUUUUCUGAGAAUUCAUCCGUAUAACAAUGGCGAAUUUCAAUAUGAACACAAUGACGUCUUUUUCUCAUAUGCUAGGAUCUUCAACAAAGAUUCCUAUGCUAAUUCCAGAGUAUUAUGAUCAUUGAUAUGAUCGCAUGGAAGACUAUUUGAAUGGACUGGAUGAAGAGCUUUGGGAAUUUAUUGAUGGAAAUGUUCUUUCUUCAGCGAAUGUUCAAGCCAUUGGUUCAUCUACUUCAACUCAAAGUGUUUCUAAACAAUCAAAAAGGCUGAAGAAGAAUGAGAAAAGAUGUAUGAGAGAGCUUCGUGGUGCUCUUCCUCCUGUUGUUUAUAACUAUGUUCGUAGUUGUAAAUCUACAAAAGAAAUCUGGAAUACACUUAAAGAGAAGUUUCAAGGGAGUGAAAAGACGAAAAUCAAUUAUGUGAAGCAUUGUAUGGUGGAAUUGAAAAAAUUCAAUCAAAAGGAGGUGAAUCUAUCGAAAUUUAUUACGAUCGCUAGAAUGAACUCAUCUACAAAUGCAGUCACAAUGGAAUAACCAGGACAACCAUGGAUUUUAAUCUCACUUUCAUUAUGGGACUACGAAAAGAAUGGCGAAAUGUUAGUCUCAUGGUGAAAACUCAACAGAGCUUCGAUACCUCAACUUUGAAUGAUCUUUACAAUUUGCUAAAAACUCAUGAGCCGGAAUUUAUCGAUAUGGAUGAAGAAUCGAAGAUAAGCUUGGGAGGACUACUUGCUUUAGUCUCAAAAGUGUCUGAGAAAGAAGCUACAGAAAAAGAGAGUUCUGAUGAUGAAGGCUUGAUUGUUAACUCAGAUGAUGAAGCGAUUGCUUUUUACUCCAACAACAAAGUGAACUUUUAUUUGUUUGACUGGGAUAGGUAUACUUAAUUUCAAAGGUAUUUAGAUCUGUAAUUUAACGAUAUACUGAAACAGAGAUUGAGAUUUUGUAUCUCUAAUUCAUCUCUGUUUAUGAUUCUUAAUAUUGUGUUCGUUAGUUCAUACAAAGUGAAGAAAUUUUAUAAAAAGCCAUUUGGUUCGAAAGUAAGGACUGGUGAAGUGAAAGUGAGUUUUGCUGGAAAAGUGAAUGAGGAGAAGAAGUUGGAAAAUAAAGAAUCAAAAUCUGAAGAUUCGAAAGUUGAAAAGAAGCUCAAAGGUGAUUUGGUGUUGACUGUCACUAUUGUCAUGGCGCAAAUCACAUGGCAAAUGAUUGUAUGCUUCGAAAGAAAGAGGAAAAGAAGAAUAAGAUAAAAGACAGAGCAUAUUAUGUCGAACGUCUGGAAGAGGUGAGAGAAAAAGCGAAAGGUUUGUCAUUGAUGGCGAGAGGAGAAGGAGAUGAAGAUGGGACUUAUAAGUUUUGGUCCUCAGGUUCAGAUGCUGAAGAGAUGCGUAAUCCUAUGCAUGGAGUGAUGUUUGCAAAAUUUGAGGAAGAAGAUGAAGAGAAUGUAACUGGUCAUUAUUUUAUGACAAAAGUGAAGACCAAUCACCAUUGACCACGAAGGUACUUUCCAUACUUCAGUCUUUUAAUAUUCAUUUGAAUGCUUAUGAUUCUAAAUUGACUGCUUUUGAUGACACUAUUGUUUUUUUAUAUAAUUUGGUUAUGUCUGCUAGUAAUGAGGCUAAAAAAUCUAAUACUCAAUUACUAGAGACACAUAAGCAGUUGGAGUCGAAGAAAAUAAGAGUAUAAUAUCUUGAAUUACAAAUAACAAAUCUCUUGUGUGAUAGAGAUAAUUUGAAUAAUGAAGUUAGGAUGUUACUUUCUCGGAGAAACAUUUAUUGUAACUCUGCGAAAAGGUUGAAGAUAAUUCUGAUAAUGUUAGCGACAUUAGUGAAAUUGAGGAGGAAGAAUCUAUCGAUUGUUUUCAGUUGUCUAUCAUUAAUCUCACAUCUUUGACUAAAGGAAAAGAAAAAUAUACCGAUUCAUUGGUUAAGACUGACAUUGACCAACCCGCAACUUCGAAAGUUUGUGAUGAUGAUCAUGUAAGUUUCAGGGAUAGUCAAACCGACAGUAGUGAUGAUGAAAAGGAUGAUGAUGAAAUUUCGAAAGAAACAACCUCAACAAAUGAUGUUUCAAAAGUAAAUGAAAUUCCAAGAGUUGUUGUUGAUCAGGUGUAUGGUUAAACAUAAAAUUUUGACAAAGUGAUGAAAGAAAAAGGUGCUCAUUAUCUAGAAACACAUUCAUUUGUGUAUCCAAAUUUUAAGUGUACAGAUGAUGUUAUCUUUCCAAACCAAGUGUUUGUCACAACUGGGAAUGUCGAUCACAUGAAACCUGAAUAAAAAAAUUGAUCGAAGAAGAUAAUAAGCAAACAUCAAAUGAAGGUUUCUUUUCUAAUCAAAGCACUGUCAAAAACAAUCUUACGAAGAAUACAUACACGUUUCAAAGACAAAAACCAUAACAAAAAUGGGUUGCAAAACCAGAAAUUUCAAAGAAAGAAGUUGAUGUUGAAAUUGUGAUUUCAAAUGAUAAAAUAAAUUCACAAGAGUUUAAAGAGAAAAUUGACAAGUUUUCAAAAGAAAAUGGAAUUUCAAAGAGACAAGAACGAAAGAAAGUUUUUUGGCAAAGUGUUGAGUCUCGAAAGACACAAAACGAUUUAAAAAAGAAAACAACUGAAAAGACCGUGUCUGAAAAGGUUAAGACAAAGUCUUCAUCAAGUCCAGUUAAUAAGAAAAAUCACGCUUUGUCUUUAAAUAAUUUGUCUCAAUCAACUUCACAAAAUGAUUUUUCAAAAACCAAAAUUCACGAAACAAAGUUUUUGUCACAAAAUUAUAAUCCAAAAUUGAAUGGAAAGGAGUUUUCUAAAUCAUGAUCGUUCAAGAAGUUUCAUUCUACUAAUCAAACAAGGUUUUUCAAUGAUGGUUUUUCAAAGUCAUAUCAAUCACAGAACAAAUCACCAUCUUUUCAAAAUGAUCUCACACACAACAACGUUUUGAGUCAAAGACUGAAAAUAUAAAGUUUGAAAAUUUUGAUUCAAAACCGAAUGUUAAAUACAGACCUCAGAAAACCAAAUUUUCCUAAUCCUCCUGCGAAACAAGCUUUCAAGGUUUCAUAUACCAAGGGUCUAUCAUAUGUGCAAAACAUAGAUCAUUGGCUUGAAGAAAAAGGAAAAUCAUAUCAAACAGGAAAAUUCUCUCAACAUCAAAUCAAAAAUGCUUAUGAGAAGUAUUUGAACGAAAUGUCGAAUGUCAGUUCAUCAUCGAAAAAUUCGACAUCUUCAGUCAAGGCAUGGCGUCCUAUUUCGAAAAAUAAUACAAUAAGGUCACAAACCGAGAAGAAAAAGGUGAAAGUCAGUGAAAGUCCUACACUUUCGAAAUGUUAUAUUUCUAAGCCUUUACCAAAUGAAGUGGACUUAAAUGAUAAUGUCAAAUCUAAAUUUCGUAAUUGGAUUUUAGGUUUUUCAUUUCAUAAUGUGUUUCAAACUAAUCAUAAAGGACCCAAAUAGCCUUGGGUACUUCAAUUCUUUCACUGAUUGCAAGUUUUAUGUGACGAGCAAUAUGAUGAAAAAUGGUAUAUCGAUAAUGGCUGCUCUCAUCACAUGACUAGAAGGAAAGAAAAUUUGCAUGAUUUUCGAAGAUUGCAGAAUGCAGGAGUUGUAAAGUUUGGCAACAAUCAAAAGUGUCAAGUUAAAGGAUAUGGUAAGGUGACAAAUGGGAAAUUCACUAUCAAUCGUGUCGCUUAUAUCGAAGGUAUUCAACAUAACUUGAUAAGUGUUUCGCAACUUGUUGUGGUCACUAGCAAUCAAGUGGUGUUUAGUGAAGAAUGAAGUAUAAUUUCGAAUGUCAGCGCAAACGAAGUUUUACUUAAAUCCAAAUGACAUGGAGAUAUGUUCACUCUUGACAUCAAACCAGUAGUUGGAAUUCCCUCAGUGUGCUUGCUAAUGAAAGCUUCAUCUGAUAUUAGCUGGCUCUGGCAUCGUCGACUUUCACAUUUGAAUUUUCAAAAUCUUAAUAAACGGGUGGUAAAUGAUCUUGUCCGAGGCUUACCUGUAUUAAAAUUUGAUAAUGAUACUUUGUGUGUAGCUUGCGAAUAAGGGAAACAACAUCGUUAAGGAAAUCCAGUUGUCAUCGAUUCAAAAAUUGUUGAACCAUUGGAAUUUCUUCAUUGCUCUUUGUGGACCAUCGACUGUUGAAACUCUCAACAAGAAACGGUACAUUUUGGUUAUUGUUGAUGAUUUUUCUCGAUUUACUUGGGUUUAUUUUCUCAGGUUAAAAUCUGAAGUUGCUCAAGGAAUGAUUGAUUUUAUCAAGAAAAUCAAAACAAGUUUGAAAAAGAAACUUUAAAAAAUCAAAAGCGAUAAUGGUUCAGAAUUUAAGAACAAUGUUCUUGAUUCAUCUUUAACUGAAAAAAGGAAUUCGCAUAAUUUUUCUUCACCAUACAUACCUCAACAGAAUGGUUUUGUUGAAAGGAGAAAUCGUUCUCUUUGUUGAAAGUCAUGUGGAAUUGGUUGUAGCAGGGAGGCAAGGAGUGAAGGAUGAUGUCGAUUGCCAGCUCUUCAUCAAAUUUAACAUUUAACUUAAGCAGGAAAUCAACAUAUCUCUGCAUCUUUUGCAGAUGAGUGGUAAGGGACUCUCCAUCUCUCAUUCGGGUAGUGAUCAUCGAAGUGAUGAUCUCAUACCUUUCUUGACUCGCACUUUGGUGGUACCGGUCCAGCAAGUCUUGAUGCAUUUCAUAGGGAUACAUGUCCUCAUAGGACUUCUGGAGUUCUGCAGUCAUGGUCGCUAGCAUGAUGCAAUGGACUUUUGUAGCAUCACGCUCAUGAGCCUCAAAGGCAGCGAUCUCUUCAGCAGUAGAUAUGUUGAGGUUGAUUUCCUUCAGCUUCUCAUCAUGGACAUACUCUUUGUCCUCGUAUCGAGUGACCAUUCUGGUGUUGCAGAUCCAAUCAUUGAAAUUGGACCCGUCAAAGAUCACUCUCCCACACAAGUUCAUGAGUGAGAACGAGCCGGAGGAAUUCGAGCUGGACUCAUUAUUGUUAUUUGACAUCUGAAAAGGAAAAGGAACAAAGUUUGAUUAGAAAUGAAUCCCUAAUUAAACACCCAAAUGAGAAAUUAGGGAUAGGAUCCAACAACAUUAUUUACAUAUUAAAAAAGGGAUGCCGUAAUCUAACAUGCAAAUAAUUUGAAGGUAAGUGAAUGACGAUUCACUAAUUCUCCACCAUGAAAAACGAAAAAGAGAUUAAGUUUUAAAUGUAUUGAAAACUGCUAGAUCAUUUGAGAUUCAUUGAACUUUUCAAUGGCAUGUUUUAAAUCUCGAUGUGCCCCUCUAGGUUGUGACUCGGAUGCCGAGGAUCACAAAGCGGGUGUGAAUAACCAUGCAAAUGUACAUGGUGCCCUCAUUGUUACAAUCACCUAUUCGAUGUGCCGGUUAACCACGCAUGCACCAUUGAACUAUGACAAACAAUGAGUCGCCCUUUUCCACCUUUUCUUAGAACCCAAUUAGUGUGCCGGUUAACCACACAUGCUCCACUAAAGUCUUAGCAAGGGUACAAAGUGUAAUUUCAUGGAAUUGCAUCAAUUUCACUUUUGCCUAAAGUAACUAAGAUUCGGAAUUUUGUAAAAACAUUUAGUUACUUUCAUAAUUCAUUAUACUUAUUAAUGAGAAAGGGUUGCCCUAUCGUACCCGUUCGGCUAACGACCCUCCACCAAUCAAGGAAGCGGUGGGUGAGAGUGGACACCCAUUAAACGGCCAUUUUAUAGGCCAUAACCUUGUACCCCCCUUAUAGAUCGGCUUCGUGAAUGAGNUAUAUAUAUAUAUAUAUAUAUUAAUCUAAUAAUAUAAUAAAGUAUAAGGUUAACUUUUAAACUUGUAAAAUUCUAGGGUUUGAAAUUUAAAUAGUUUAAAUUAAACUUUUAAUCAUAAAAUCUAAAUUUCAAAACUUGAGGGCAAGUUUUGAACUUUUCAAAACAUAAAGCAUCAAAUAGAAAAUAAUUUAAAUUAAACAAUUAAUUUAAUGAUUAUCUAAAUUUGACCUAGUCAAUUUUAUUUACAAGAUAAUUCAACAAUUAAUUCAAAUAAUCAAAUAAGGAAUUUAUUAUUCAAACAAUUGGUAAUUAUCUUUUGAUUUGGUAAGGAUAAUCAUAAAACAAUAAUAAAAUUCGGAUUUUAUUAGUCAAAAACGAUUUAGGCAAUUAUCCUUAAGCAAAACAGCAAGAAAUCCCGAAAAUCUCUCUGUCUGACAGCUAAACUCGUCGAGUCCACAUUGGAACUCGUCGAGUUCCCUAUGGAACUCGUUGACUUCAUCAGACACACAACCCAAAAUCUAAUUUAAAGCAAGAAUGAACAAUCAAGAAAUCAAUACAAUAGAAACUAGACAUAACUCUAAUUGUACAUGCAUUCAUCCAAGACUUUUAAACCCUAGAUCUAGUGUAUAUAAUCGAAAUUAACAUAACAACACAGAUCUAGAUGUUUACCUUGUUGUUGAUUGAAGAUCUUGAAGCCUUGAGAACUUUAGCACCUCAAGUGUUGUGCUUCUAAUGAAUCACAAACACCAAUAGCAAUUGGAGGAAAUAAGAGAGAGAGAGGGGAGAGGAGAAUUUCGGCUCUAGGACUUCUAGGUUUCAAGGUAGCCGAAAUCCCUAGCCUUAGGGGUCUUUAUAUAGGUGUGCAAAUUAGGGUUUUAGUGAUUAUCCUUAUCUGGUUACUUAGCCACCAAGCAGCCCAAGGAUAAUUCUAGAAGCCCCCCUUUGACGAAUUCCUAAGGCCUUAUCCUUAUAAUCAUCCACCCUAUACUCUAGGGUUUCCUUACCCAACUCUGCAACUAUCACAUAAUUACAAGUUCAAUCCCCUUAAUUCAAUUAACCUCUUUUGACCACAAAAUUAAUUCUUGACCAAUGUUAAUUAAAUAAAUAAAUUUCUAUUUUAAUAUAUCAAUCUUAUAAUAUAUUAAGAAACCAUAAUCACCUCUUUCUAUAUUAUUCCUCCAGUCAAGUUGCUUUGGUGAAGGCAACCCAAAAGGACCAUGCACAACCGGGUCAAGUACAUACCAAAUAUAGUUAUGGACUUAGACACUAAUCCAACAGGAUGCUAGUGGAGGAAGAGAACCAUGGCAUUACAAGUAAAUCGCCAUGGUGUGGCAACCAAGCGGUUGCCAUUGAAGGAGGUCAAUUGGUCACUGCGGCGUGGUAAAAAGAUGAUCAUGGUGCAGUUACACACCAAAUUAAAGGAUAUUAAUCCCUUCAUACUCGUCUUUUAACACCCCCAAACCCUUGAAAGCAAAGCUCCAAGGAUUUGGAGAAGUAAGAAGGGGCAAGAGGCUGUCUAGGGUAUUUAUGGCUUGGAUGGAAGGUGGAAUGCUUAAGAGGUAAUCAUCUUCUCCAUUUUUAAGCUAGUGGGUCUUCAAUCCUGUUCUUGAUGAUUUGAGCUAAUUGAGUUAAACUAUGUGAAGAAAGCUUGUUUAUAGUAUUAAUAAAGGCGUUUAGAUGCCUAGAACAAGCUUUGUAUGUAAUCUGCAUGAGUGGGAUCAAUCCAAUGAGAGUUAGGAAUUGAAACCCUACCUAGUGAUUAUGUGUAAUUGAUGCAUUAGAUGUUAGAUUAUAAUGAAUUAGGUAUUGUUUAGUUCUUAAUUCAUUAAUUGAUUCAGAUUAAGAGAUAGAGAAUGAAAAUAUAGAAUUAAGAUCCAUUAAUUGGUUACCUUAACAUAGAAAGUCAAAAGCUCUUAAUAGGAUAAGACAAGUAUUAUGAUACUUGUAUGUAUGUAUAAAUAGGUCUAAGAUCAAAGAAUGUGGAUCAAGACACACCAACUGAAAAAAUAAUGAUCCAAAUUGGGACAGUUAGUCUUCAUUAACGGAUAAGGUGAGUUAUUACUCUCACCCUCUCUCGCUCUCUCUCUUACAUUAUGUUAUAUAUAUAUAUAUGAGGACCUUGAGGCACAAAGUAAAUGCCUUUAAGUUGAGAGAUGAAGAAGGAAUAAAAAUAUACUGUAAGUCCCGAUUUCAAUGAUCCAAACCAGUGAUCAAACAUAUAGCAAUCGAUUAGGAUAAGAAUGAAGUAGAGGAAAGAUUAAAUCAAGCAUACACACGUUAAUAUCACAAAAACGUCAGGUACACCUUGGAUACACACACAUUCAUCACCCUUAAACUGACACAGACACACUCUAUUUAUAGGACCACCAGCUGUACACGUGUGUACAGCUGUACACGUGUGUACAACUGUACACCCAUGUAUGGCCAUACACACGAGUCCAGCUGUACACAGCCACACAACAAGCUACAAACAUCAUUACAAAGUCCAAAAUCCUACCAAGACCUAUACAAGAUGGAUGCCUAGCCCAUACCACUAUAUUAUGACCUAUAAAUCUCCCCCUUGGUUUGAGGCUAUCAUAGACUUGGUCUUCAAUCUUUUGGUUUCUCGAAGCCUUAGGUCAGAUUUUCCCAUAGAUCCAAGCCAGAGCCUACCAUUAAUAAUUGUGGUAACCAUUCCUGUAAAUUCUUUUAUAGAAGCCUCCAUGAUCUCCCUCCUACACAAGAUUUGAUGACGGGCCAAAGUGUGAAUGUCUCUCUCUCUCUAAAUCUCAGAAGAUCCUUAGCGCUAACGAGCCUGAGAACUGCUCUGUUUUUGAAUUUUAUGGCUGCAGUUGCUGUUUCAUCAUCAAAGGCCCAAAAAUCCAUAUCAUCAAGAUAUCCAUCAUGAAAAUGUUGUGGGAUUGGAAUAUCUUCUUCAAUUGGUUUGUAGCUGGCCACAACAUUAUCUUCAUCGGUUUGUCAGUUUCAGGAUCAAGAAUAUCUUUGUCUUUUCUAACCAAAGCUUUCGUUGUUUUCAUCAUGGAGAAAUUAUCCCUGACCUGUCUAUCUAAAAACUGUUUUAAGUUGAAAGCACUAGGAUUUUGUGAAGGAUUGUGGAAUGGAGCCCUUGAGGGUUCAUAGAGAUGAACCUUUGUCCAGGAGUUGAAGUCAUGAAUGCUUUUAUAGUACUCUGUAUUUCCAGAAUUUCUCUUAACCAUCCAUAGUUUAAGUUCAUGAUCAUAUGCCCACAUUUUGAUCCCUGUACGAUCACCAAAUUUUCUCUUUUGAAGAUCUGUCAUAGUGAGUUGAGGUUCAUUUGCUUUACGAUUCUCAUUUGAGUUCUUCAUGAAGAGCAAACCUACUUUAUUCUUAGUUGUGACUGUUCUCUUGCCAUGUUUAAUUGCGAUCUGGGGUUUGGCAUUCACAGGCUCUUCCUUAAACAGAUUGACAAUUCUUGUUGUUCUUAGGGGUGGUUGAUCAACAGGAUUUUCGCUUUCGGAAGGUUGGACGAGAGCAGUGGGAGGAUCUUCAAUACCAUGAGACUGUUGAAACAAGGACUGCAACUUAUCACCAAAAGCUUCAAACAAUUUGUUCUACAAGCUGAAGUAGAAAGCAGUCAAGGAUCCAAGAUUAGUUUGCAAAUCAAAAAUAAGUUUUGACUUCAACGCAUUGUCUGCUUCAAGCUCAGCGAUCCUGACAUCAUGUUUCCCAAUAAAAAUGUCCUUCUCAAUAUUUUGCUGAUUAAGAAUGCCAAUUUCUUCUCUGAGCUUGGACACGACAGGAUCAACAUCCCUGAAUGACCUUCCUCAAUAGAUAACCCUUUUCCACGUGAGGAGGGUUCUGAACUAUGUUGUUGUGAUAAGUGCUUUGUUAGCCAGAUAGAGGCUUCAUCUAGCAAAGGACUUAUGGGGGAAUAUCCUUGAAUAGCUGAAGAUCCUACAGUUUCAUAUAUAGUACUUGGGCGUUGUAGGGUCGGUACAGGUGGUGCAGUAACAAAUGUAGUUGUGAUUGUGGAUUGAGCUGGUGGUGCUUGUUCUAGGAUUAGUGCUCCCUGCAUUGGAUCAAGUCCUCUUCUUUUCACAGGAGGCUGGGAGGUUUGUGUCGAUGUCGGAUCACUUGUGGAUGGCAUAGAUGUAGGAAUAGCAGAAUCAAGGGGAGUAAUCCAUGAAGUUGCAUCCCUUUGGCUUGAAGUAUCUCCCAUCGAUCUUGACAUAGGAGGCAUAGUUUUGAGAGUCUCAUCAGCAACCCUAGUCUCAGUUGUUGAUUGAACAACUUUAUUGACCCUUGUAAAGAACUUGUCAACGAAAUCCAAACUUGGACCAACGUCAUCAUCUUCAAGACCAAGGUUAAGGGGGAUUUCCUCAUGGUUAAAGCAUGUAAGGUCCAUGUCCUUCAGAAAAUCAUCAACUCCAUCAUUCUCAUUUACCGUCACAUUAUCCAUUAAAUUUUCUUCAAACUCAUCCUCAUCAUCACCAUCUCCAUCGUAAUCACUCCAAACCUCCACGUUUUGUAGUUGGUCAUGCUCCUCUGCCACGAUUGCGAUAGGUGGAACACGAUCUUCUUCGCUUUCAUGAUCUGAAGCCGAGAUAACAACAUCCUUGGUUUCCGUGGGGCUUGAGAGAUCAUCAGACUCAGAUUGAUCAUUCUCUUCAGCAAAGAUGCCAAACUUGAUCAGAUGAUACUUUCCUUCAAAAUUAAACUUUCUUUUUCGAUUUUUCUUCAUCAAUCCAAAAGCACUUGAACCAACAGACUUAAGGUCCAAGGUCUCUCCUCCUCUUUCUAACUCUGGGUGCAUGACAUUGAAGAUUAACUGAAGGAAUUUUGGAUACAUGAGGAACUUAUCUCUUUUGUUUCCUUCAAUUUUCACAAUCAUCUCGUGCAAAAUGAACUUUGAGAAGUUGAACUCUAUUCUUGAAGCUAAAGUAACAAUUGCACCGGUGUUGAUCAGAGAGAUUUCAUCAGCUCCUUAUUUCCGACCGGAGAUACAGCUAACAAAUACAUGAGCUAACUAUCUCCAGUACGGGGGCAAUAAUUUCUUGAGAGUGGGAGGGAAAAUCCCUUCGUAUCCCAUUUGAUCCAGAAUCUCUUGAGUCCGAUCUAGAUCAAUCUCUUUCGGGAAUUCAGGUUCGUCACUGAUCUGCAAAGCUUCUCGAAGGAUUUGUUCAGUAACCAAGACUUUCUUUCCUCGCACAGGUCAGAUCUCUUUCAAUCAUGCUGAGAGCGAAACAUAUUACUGACUAUAGUUUAGAGGGAUUGAGAAAUAGAAUGGUGCAUAUGCUGUGUACCAGGUCGGAUGUAUUUCAAUCAUGCAAAGGAGACACCAUAUGACUAACAGACAUGAAGAAUUGCAUAUAUAGAAGAUGCAUAGAUAUAGAGUUGCAUAUGUUGCAGUCCAGGUUGGAUCUUUCGAUCACAUAGAGGACGCAACAUAUGAAUGACAGAUAGAAAGAAAUAAAAUAACUUUCUACAUACCUAAUUUUAUAGGAAUUCCCCGGUCUCCCCGUCAAUACCGAUAUUAAGAACAAAGUCUGCACAUCGAGGAAAAGUUAAUCCACAGUUCUAGAUACUAAUCAUUUAAUGUAUCCGCAGAUUUCCAUGUAUAUCUCCCUGCCCAACCUAUCUCAACCUAUCUGAGCAUCAUAUUGUCAGGCUAAACGGAUCUAUCUAGGUUAAGAUUUCUCAAGUCUCUAGAUUCCUUAAGUUCAUCUAUGCCUAGUCAAGUCCAUAUAAAUCUUUCAUGCCUACCAGUGCAUCGAACACAGAGUCUAGACAAUUCAGCUUUGGUACCUUACACAGAUUUAGAUUGCCCGUCUUCACUUGUUGAUAUCACUUCCCCAGUCACAACACCUAUAAAAAUACACUAUAUUUUUGGCUUUUUGAUUUUCUAUUUUUUUUUGCUUUUAGAUUUUCUAUUUUUUUGUUUGGUUUUUGUUUAUUUCUCUCCCUAAAUUUGUGCAUGGGUGAGAAUGAAAUUAAAAUGCGCAAAUUUAAACUAACAUAAAAAAAUAGUCCUCAAAACGUAUCAUUUUCAAGAAUCCCACAAGCACAUCCAAUCGAGCUUUGUUAAACGGUUUUGGGAACAAAUCCGCCACAUUAUUAGCAGUGGGAACCUGUUCCAACCGAAUGAGCGAACGCUCAUAACAAUCUCUGAUGAAAUGCACUUUGAUAUCGAUGUGCUUGGUUUUCGAGUGUUGCACUGGAUUUUUGGCAAUCUGAAUUGCAGCCUCAUUGUCACAGAAGAUAGGGGUUUCUAGAUAAUUCAAACCGUAAUCCAACAGCUGAUGUUGGAUCCAGAUAACUUGAGAACAACAGGCAGAAGCAUCGACAUAUUCCGCUUCUGCUGUUGAGGUUGAGACGGUGUGCUGUUUCUUACAUUGCCAUGACACCAGCCGGUCUCCGAGAAAUUGACACCAACUAGAAGUUGAUUUCCUGUCAAGCUCACAGCCUCCAUAAUUACUAUCAGCAAAAGCAUAUAGAUUAAAUUCAGAAUUUUUCGAAUACCAAAGACCCAGUUUUGGGCUACCUUUGAGAUACCGAAAAAUUCUUUUGACAGCAAUAAGAUGUGAAAGUUUAGGAUUAGCCUGAUAUCAUGCACAUUGACAAACAGAAAACAUGAUGUCUGGCCUGCUUGCAAUUAGAUACAUCAACGAUCUGAUCAUCAAUCUGUAAUCAGUCUAAUCUACGGAUUCACCAUCAGUAUCAGGAGUCAAAAGGGGUCUCUCGGCCAUUUGUGUCAAUGAGGGUUUUGUGUCUCGAAACCCAAACUUCUCCAGCAUAUCUUCAACAUACUUUACUUGAUGUAUCAGGAUUCCGGUUGAAUCUUGUUUGACCUGAAGCCCAAAAAACAUGGUCAUUUCUCCUAGUGAACUCAUCUCAAACCUUUUCUUCAUCACACCUUCAAACUCUUUGCAUAGUUGUGGACUUUUGGACCCGAAAAUGAUGUCAUCUACGUAGAUGUGAACCAAGAUUUGAUCCACACCAACAUGCUUAAUGAACAAGGUUUGAUCGAUUAUGCCUCGCGAAUAGCCAUGCUCGAGCAAGUGCUUCGUAAGAGUCGCAUACCACGCUCGAGGAGCCUGAUGUAGCCCAUACAGAGCCUUGUCUAACUUGUAGACGUGAUUAGGAAACUUUGAGUUAACAAACCCAGGAGGUUGAUCAACAUAGAUUUCUUCCUUCACAGCGCCAUACAGGAAGGUAGUCUUGACGUCCAUCUGGUAUACUGUGAAGUUCAUGUAGGAGGCAUACACAAGGAAAAUAUGAAUAGCCUCCAAACGAGCCACCGGAGCAUAAACUUCGUUGUAGUCAAGACCCUCGAUUUAUCUAAAUCAACCUACAACCAACCGAGCCUUAUUCCGUACAAUGACCCCGGAAUCAUCUUGCUUGUUAUGAUAGACCCAUUGUGUGUCAAGAGACUUCUUCCCCUUAGGUAACUCAACCAAUUUUCAAACCCCUAGCUUUUCAAAUUGAUUCAAUUCCUCAUGCAUAGCAUCCACCCAGCUGGGCUCAUUCAAAGCCAUUUCAAUGUUCUUAGGCUCAAUUUGAGAUAUGAAGCAAGAGUAGAGACAUGUAUUUACAUCUCCACUCUAAAUCCACAUUUUAACACCAUCGCCCAACUGGCCAAUGACAUUUUUGAAUGGAUGAUCGCGUUGAAUUCUGGAAGGUAUCUCCUGGCUGAUGUCAUUGAUCAAAACGGGAAGAUUGUGAAUAUUGAGAAAUCCAUCAUCUGCUGAAUGAUCCACUUAAUACAGUCCUGACUCAUGAGAAGGGCUUGCCAAGAACUCAUUAGCAAUCGGUUCAGGAAAGAGUAGUUCCAUUAAUGUUUGAGUAGCAGCGUAAGCAUCUCUGGACAUAAACUCUCUUUCAUCGGGAGUAAGAGGAGUGGCAUUAGCAUCUGGAUUGUUUUUUGACUUGGAGAUUCUGGACAAGCAAUUGGAACAGACAUGUCCACCGAAGGCUUUAUAGAUGACACCAUCGGUGGUCUGUAAAGAACUUCUUUGUCUUCGUCUUCAAUCACAUUCUUCGAACCAGGAGUGGAGCCAGAUAAGUAAUCGGAAGACACAUUAAAGGAUUUGAAUAGAGUUACAAAAUCAAACAAAUUUGGACCCACUCUAGCAUUCGUCUCGUUCUCCUCCAACCAGUGCACGUCAAAGGAUUCUACAAUUUGCUUAGUUUUCUGGUUGUAGACCUUAUACGCUGUGCGAGCAGCAUACCCUACAAAGUAACAGUCAUCGGCUUGGCAUUGAAUUUAGGGUUGGAUUCCAGGUGAAGAAGGGUGCAAGGGCAGCCAAAAAUGCAGAAGUGACUGAUAGAUAGCUUGUGACUGUAGAGAAUUUCGUAUGGAGUCUUCAUCUAGGCUUUGUUGAUCAAAACACGAUUCUGAACAUAACAAGAUGUGUUGAUCGCCUCAGCCCAAAAGAAAACAGGUAGCUUGGAGUCACAAAGCAUCGUCCUCGCAUCGUCUUGAUGCACGAUCCCGUUUCUUCGCAAAAAUGAUCAAGAGUAAAAUUCUUGAAUUAUGUUCCAUUUUCGGUUCGGAGCGCCUUCACCUGGUGAUUGGUUUGGUUCUCUAUCAUCACAAUGAACUUCUUAAUCAGAUCAGCAACCCCAACUUUGUUGGACAAGAAGAAGACCCACAUAAAAUGUGAUAAGUCAUCGAUCACAACCAGAAAAUACGAAUUUAUGUUGAUGCUAAGGACAUUGACCGGACCAAACAUGUCCAUCUGCAAUAAUUGGAGCACCUAGUUGAUUGAAUUGACCUGUUUCGGCAGGUGUUGUUUUCUGUGAUGCUUUCCUUGGGCGCAUGACACACACUUUUCAAAUGUUAUAAAAUCUCUGACAGGAAGUCCACACACCAUAUCAUUCUUCGCAAGACGAUUUAGGUUCUUUGUGUUAGCAUGUCCAAAUCUUCGGUACCAGCAUUGCAUUUUGUUUGGAGACUUUGGAGAAGAGGCAAGUGACUUGUUCAGGAAUGUUGCUAUUCAUAUCAAUGAUGUAUGCAUUGUUGUAACACCCCGAGAUUCAAGUGCAUAUCUUUCAUCCUUGAUCUUUAUUGUAUUGUCAUGUUUAGUCCUUGAGUGGAGAAUGUAUAGCAAGUGAGUACGCUGGGCGUACCAAGGGGAUACGUUGUACGUAAUCACGCGCUUAAUUUGGACGCGGAGUCGGCAAGGUACGCUGGGCGUACCUAGAGUUACGUCGGGCGUACCCGGCCUAGGUGCAUACACCAUAAUCCUCCUUGUGCACUAUUUAAAGGGUGUUAUGGCUCAUUCCUUAGCCUCCAUAUCAGUGAGUGAAACCCUAAAAGAGAGCCCCAUCGUUCUUAGUGUGUGAGAGGGUUGAUUUGAGCUUGUUGGUGCUUUAGAGGCUUGGUGAAGAAGAAGGAAAGGAGAACUUGGAGGCUAAAGCUUGAGGUGCCAUUUUGGAUCUGAGAUCUACAGAGGAAAGAUCUACUCUUGGAGGUAUAAAGUUCAAAAAUUUCCUCUUCUUUUGGUUGUUCUUGUAUGUGUCAUUUUUAGGGCUAAAAACCCCAACGGUGGAGACUUUAUGAGUGUAAAGUACUCCAUGGUCCGAGAUUUGUCCCUUUUCAGUGUUAUUAGUGAUGUAGAGCCAUAAAGUUCCCAUCUUGGAUGUUACUUUGGAGUCAUGCAUGUGUUUUAAGCCUUCUAGAGUUGAAGGUUGGAUCAUUUUGGGAGUUAGUGACUUGUUCAGCCAUGCAAAGGCUUAAGGUCAUCAACUUUAUGGAUAAGGGGAUUAGAAGGGGUCAGAUCUAAAAUAUGGACGUGGGUCUUAAUUGAUUAAGACCUCAAGAGCAAGAGGGAUGAUGCAUGGGAGUACGCCGAGCGUAAUUCCUAGUACGCACCGCGUAUUGGGAGGCGCUCCCCGAUUCUGUGGUGCAACCGGGUACGCCCAGUGUACACAUCUGGUACGCGCAGCGUAACCCGGAGAGUUGACUUUUGGUUGACUAUUAGGGUAUGGUCUAUUGUGGGGCCUUUGAGCUAUGGGCGGGGUAAAAUGGUCUUUUACCCAUCUAAGAGUGUCAUAAGAGAGCAUAGUCUAGCCUUGAGAGUUAUACUAAAUAGAGUAUUAUUUUUAUAUGAUUAGACGGAGGCUAGGCCAACAUUUACCGAGUCAGAGAUUUACCGAGAUACCCGAAGUGAGUCUUCUCACUAUACUUUACCUAGUGUGGUAACAGAGUUAAGAGAGAGUAUUAUAGAGUUAUAUGCCAGUGUGAUUGCAUGUUAUUAUGUGUUGUGAUUUAUUGUGAUAUGUGAUAUGCAUUAUUCAGAGUUACAGAGUUGGGACUUUCGGGUCCCUAGAGUUAGGGCCAGAGGGCCCACAGAGAGUUAGGGCUGGAGGGCCCCACUGAGACACAUUGACCAGAGGGUCAACAGAGUUACAGCCUCGAGUGGCUAUUAUGUGAUUAAUGUGGUAUUUUGGGGAAACUCACUAAGCUUAUGCUUACAAUGUUCAGUGUUAUGUGUUUCAGGUACCAGUGAUGACCGCGGGAAGGCACCGGCUUGAUUCGUACACACAUAUGGGAAUUGGAUGUAUUUUGAUCUUGGGAGACAUUGUGAUUUGAAAACUUGAUGUUAUGACGUUUUGUGAACGAAUUGUUUAAUUAAAAAUGUGUUUUCAAAAGUGAAAAAUUGUUUUAAUUUUUACGGUGUUACAAGUUGGUAUCAGAGCCUAGGUUUGAGGGAUUUGGGUGCACCUUCGGGCGUAUCUGAACUCAAACCGAGGAUUUGAGAAAAUUUUGAUAAUAAAACAAGUUUUCAAAAGAAGAACUUGCGAGACAAACAGAGCAGAGUCGUGUGUACGAACAGCCAGCGCCCGAACGGUGAUUUCCCAAAAUACCAUUAUUAUAAGUGUUAUGAGAUAUGAUGUGCUAUGUUAUAUGAUGAGCUAUGAUAUGCAUGCUAGAGUAGACUAGGUAUUCUUAUUAGGACUAGAGUGGCCUGAUAUGUGAUGCCUGAGUCUAGGAGUCUUGCUGCUAUGAAUAUUUCAGAGUGGUUAGGUAGCAGCGAGGAGAUUGUGAGAGAUCUGUUUGCGAGUAUCAUAUGAUUAGAGAGAGUAGAGUGCUUGGGACUUGGGACUCUGGGAGGAGGACUUGGGGUGGAUGCUGAUGCGGUGUGGACAGUAGUAUUGGGCCCGUACUACUGAAGACACCGGGUCAGUGCACAGUCCAAGUAAGAAUCUUUGGAGUACCAAGGAACAAGUAGGAUGGAGUACUCGAGUGUGAGUAUACUCGAGCGAGUCCCUGAUAUUAUUCUUAUGUUGUAUUUCAGAGAGAGAGAUCAUGGUUGGGACUCGCCAAACAUCAGGGACCAGUGAUACGAGGGAUGAGGAGAUCCGUAGGAUCAUCCAGGAGGAGGUGGCUGCGGCCAUCAGGGCAGAGAUACCAGAGAUGUUCGGGUCUAUCAAGACCACGUUGAUAGAGACAUUUGAUGAGAAGUACGCUGCUCUUUCUGAGGCUGCUGUUGCUGCGGCCACUGCAGCUAUAGCUGCGACGAGGCCGCAGGGUGGUGAUGCGUUGCUGUUCCGAGAGUUCAGCAACACAAAACCACCGGAGUUUGACGGGACCCAGGACCCGAUUGCGGCGAUGAGAUGGAUUUCAGACAUAGAGGGGUGUUUCUUUACUUGCUCAUCUCCUGAGCAUUUGAGAGUCCGGUUCGCGCUGAACCAGCUUCGCUUGGGAGCGAAGGACUGGUGGAAAUUUGUGACGGCGCACUAUACGCCUGCUGAGUUUGCAGCAGUGACCUGGGAGAGGUUCACUGCUAUGUUCCGAGAUGAGUACGUUCCCCAGGUGGAGAGGGAGCGUUUGGCCCAGGAGUUUCUGGCCCUCAAGCAGGGUACUGAGUCUAUUACUGUGAUCACGAGGAUGUUUCAUGAGCGGGCGAUGUUCUGCCCAGAGCACGUCUCCUCCGAGCAGGCACGUAUGAGUCGAUAUUUGAGCAUUGUGAGGAGGGACAUACGUGAGUUCGUGGCGAACUCGACGUACCGGACAUUUACCGAGCUUCAGGAAAAUGCCCGGAAGAGGGAGAUAGAGUUGGAGACUCAUGCUAGGGAGGAGGCUGAGUCUCAGGGGAGGGAUCAGCGACCGGUAGUCUCAGCCNNNNNNNNNNNNNNNNNNNNNNNNNNNNNNNNNNNNNNNNNNNNNNNNNNNNNNNNNNNNNNNNNNNNNNNNNNNNNNNNNNNNNNNNNNNNNNNNNNNNNNNNNNNNNNNNNNNNNNNNNNNNNNNNNNNNNNNNNNNNNNNNNNNNNNNNNNNNNNNNNNNNNNNNNNNNNNNNNNNNNNNNNNNNNNNNNNNNNNNNNNNNNNNNNNNNNNNNNNNNNNNNNNNNNNNNNNNNNNNNNGCGCAGGGAUCUGCACAUACUUCUAUGGGUUCCUUUGAGAGCCAGCCAGUGAAGGUCUAGACACCAAGGGCUCGCCGGAGAGCCUUUCAUUUGACAGCGGAGGAGGUCCAUAGAGUGCCCGAUGUCGUGGCGGGUAUGUAUUCUUUCAUGUAUUUAUUUUGAUGUUGAGAUAUUGUGCUUAUAUUAUGUUAUGCAUAGGUACUUUUCUUGUGAAUUCUGUACCUGCCUUGGUGUUAUUUGACUCAGGUGCGAGUCGGUCUUUUGUAUCUUUGGCUUUUAGUCAACAUAUCAGUGUUAGUCGUGAGGCGUUGAGCCGGCCUCUGAGAGUUUCCAUAGCUGACGAGAGGGUGAUUUAUGCCACAGAGGUGAUUCGAGAGUGUGUAUUCGAGAUUUUCGAUGUUGAGUUCCUGAUUGAUUUGAUUCCUAUUGCGAUGGGUGACGUCUGUGUGUUGGGGUGCAAAGUUAUUCAUUCAUGACUUUGUAAAUGUUUGACUUUUGUAAAACCCACUUGCAUGUGGUGCUUUAGCCUUUAGACCCAUUUGUUAGAGAGUGAGAGAGAGACAUGUAAACACCUCUAUAAAUAGUGGGUUCAUACCACUUGUAGAGGUGUGCUUGAGAGAUGUAGAAGUGAGUGUGUAAGUAUGUGUUAAUUAUGUAGUCUAGAUCUAGAUCUUUUUUUGUAACACCAUAUACAUUCAAUAUAUCUCUUAAACACCCAAAUCACCAUGUUCAAUUGUGCAAGCUGUAAUUCCGCAUGUCAAACCAUGUUCUUUGUCUCUACAAUUGGUAUCAGAGCCUGGUUUUCACGAUCAACGUGACUUUUGAAGAACGAUUCUCGGUUUGGCAACAUUUGUCGCAAUUUGAGCAAUUUUGGUGAGUCUCUCUCUAUGAUCUCUUGUAAUAUUUGAUUCGUGCGUUACGUUCUUGAUUUUUGAUCAUUUUGAUUCAUUGGAUCUAGUUCGUUUCAAAUCUCAUUGUUGAUCCAAUAAUUUUUCAUUGAUCAAUGUCCGAUCCAAUCAUAUUUGUUUGUUUGAAUCGAGAUUGAUGCAUAAAAUACUUUUAUGAUCUACAAUUUUCGAAUCUUGUACUGUUCAUAAACAUUUUAAUUGCUACCAAAAGAAACUUGUUACUGUUUCGUGUCCGAUCAUCGAGCCCAAGAAAUUUUCAAAUCAUUUAAUAUCCGAUAUAUUCCAGUUUGNUCCAGUUUGAGCCCAAUUUCUAUUCAUUGUUCGCAUAUUCAAAGUUUAAGCCCAAUCCAUAAUCUAAAGAGUUGUAAUCGGAUCAUAUCAAAUCCAUUCUCAAGUUCAUUCUCAUGUAUAUGGAUCUGAUACGCACAAGCUUAAGGUGGUUGUACAUUCUGGUCGAACAUCUAUAAUUUUUCCUCAGUUGAUCAUUUAUGAAUCGAUUGUUCUGUGUGAUCUGAAUGUAUAUCAUCGUUUUUAACAAUCAUUCGUUGUUGAUUGUUAAUCAGAAUUUAGAAAUUGAUUUCAAUCGAUUUGUUGUAUGAUGAUAUCGGUUUUUGACUCAAAAAUCGGUAAAUGAUUCAUUGAUUUUGAUAAAAUUGAUCAAGAAAUUUGAAAUUGUUGGGAAGAACAGAUGAAGAACAGUUGUUUGAACACCUUUUGAUCUGAAAUCGGACCUCAAAACCAUUGAUUUAGUGUUUAUGAUUCGUUGACUUUGAAAAGUCAAACUAUGAAACACUCAAAUCUGACAUUCUGGAGCUGAUUCAGUGGAUUGGAGAUUGAUUUUGCUCAAUAUAAGUUGUUUUGGGGAUAUAGAUCUUGAAAUCAAGUCCAAUUUGGAGAGUAAUUUCGAAAUCGGUUGGAUUUAUGAUCUUAUUGACGAACGAUGAAUGGGAACGAACUGAGAACUGAUAUGCUCGACCAAUUGUUGUUUGCGAAAUCGGUUUGAUUUUCGAAGAUGAUUUGGUUGAUUGUGUGAGUUCGCAAGUUUGGAAUUGAAAAAUGAUGUUGAUGGAACGAAGUCAUGAAAAGUGUUUACAGAUAAUCGACUGGGAAAUUGAUGUUUACAAAAGAACGAAAAUUCGAUUUUGAAUCCUUACAGGGUGAUGGUCGAUACUUGUGAUUUUGAUUGUUGAUUUGGAGUCGGGAACUCGAUGAUGUUUAGCUGUCGUUGUUGAAGAACUGGAUUCACAUGUGAGAAUCAAAAUUGGGUUCGCAUAUAAAAAUGUUCGCAUCUGUGAUAUGGAGGUCAAAAAUGUUUGCAUCUAAAAAGGGUUCGCAUUUGAGAUCAGUUUGCAUAUGAGUGACUCAAAUUGUAUUCGCAUCUGGAUUUCAAACAUAAAUUCGCAUUUGGUGAGAAAAAUGUGUGGUUAAUGGUAAAACAAGAUUCGCACAUAAGGUUGUAAUACUGUUCGCAUUUGGGAGCAGUUCCAUAUAAAAGCAAAAUCAGGUUCGCAUUUGUGUGAAUGGAAUUUGCAUUUGGUGAUUAGUUCGCAUUUGGAGUCAAAAUGCGAAGUCAUCUCAUCCAUGAUUCGCAUUCAUGAAAUUUUCUUAUACAUCGUUUGCAUUCAUGAUUCACAAAUGUGCGAAGAGUCAAAAUGCGAAGUCAAAAUGUGCGAAGUCUUUACUAUGAAACAUUGGUGAAUUGGGGAAGACAACAGAAGUUUCAAAAAGUGUCCCUGUAGUUUCGCAUUUUUGGCAACAAAUACCCAACUUCGCAUAUGGGUAAUAAAAGCUGAAAAAAAAAGCAGAAUUUUCUGUUCUGGUCCUUGCAGUUUGUGCGAAUUUACGCUUUAUCCCCGAUUUCGCAAAUGGGCUAGAGUUUCGCAUAUUUGAUUGUUUUUGGCGCAUCGGGUCACUGCAUAAUUUUGAAAUUGACAAUUUCUACCCAUUUUUGAGAAAUUUUGUCAAAGGCGAUCCGUGAACGAUGAUAAAAAUUGGUUAUUUUUUGGGUUUUUCGGAUUGAAGCACAAAGUUUAUGCCACAUGUUAAGGGGAGUUUUGACAUGAAAAAUUCCAAAUAGAGCACGUUCUUUUUCCUUGGAGUUUUAUAAUCAAAUUUCGAUUAUAAAAAGGGGGAGAAGUUUAAUAUGGAAAUUCGAACUUGAAUUUUUCAUAUUACGCGGAUUUGAAGACCGAAGUGAUUUUGAAGUUUUGAAGCCUACGAGAUGAUGCAAUUGGAAGUUCGAAAGUGAUGUAUUCGAAAUCGGUUUGGAAUUAUUGAAGAUUUUUGGGGUGUGUUUUUAUGCGCAACUUUGGGUGAUUAUUUGGAGUUUGAAAUACUCUUGAUCAUUCGUUGCUGCUCGGAUUGUAUGGUCUCACAUCCUAGAGCCCAAAUGAAGAGUCAUGGAAGAAUUGAAGAUUGAAGUUCGUUUCGACAUGUGUCACCUUUGAGGCUCGAACCGCGUAGUGCUUGAUUUUGGAAGAUUUGAAGUGGGUCAUUCAUUCCUAACUUUGAGGGGGAGAAUGUUGGGGUUGCAAAGUUAUUCAUUCAUGACUUUGUAAAUGUUUGACUUUUGUAAAACCCACUUGCAUGUGGUGCUUUAGCCUUUAGACCCAUUUGUUAGAGAGUGAGAGAGAGACAUGUAAACACCUCUAUAAAUAGUGGGUUCAUACCACUUGUAGAGGUGUGCUUGAGAGAUGUAGAAGUGAUUGUGUAAGUGUGUGUUAAUUAUGUAGUCUAGAUCUAGAUCUUUUUUAUAACACCAUAUACAUUCAAUAUAUCUCUUAAACACCCAAAUCACCAUGUUCAAUUGUGCAAGCUUUAAUUCUGCAUGCCAAACCAUGUUCUUUGCCACUACACUAUGUCAUUGUGGGCAUGGACUGGUUGAGUAGAUUCGAUGCGGUUAUCGACUCGACCGACAGCUGGUGACCAUACGAGACCCUAGUGGGGGAGUUCUUACGGUGUACGGCGAGGGUACACGUUCUAGGUCAGCGUUUUGUUCGGCCGCUAGGGUGAGGCAGUGUCUACAGCAGGGUAAGGGCUUUGUGGCGUAUGUGAUGGAUACGCGGGUUGAUUCAGGGAGACCGAGGUUAGUUGAGGAGGUUCCGAUAGUGCGUGAGUUCUCGGAUGUAUUUCCAGAGGAGUUGCCGGGUGUGCCUCCCGUGAGGCAAGUGGAGUUCAAUAUCGAUUUGGUUCCGGGGGCCGCGCCUAUUGCCAAGGUGCCCUAUCGCCUUGCACCUCCAGAGAUGCAAGAGUUAUCCUCGCAGCUUCAGGAGCUGUUGGGGAAGGGGUUUAUUCGGCCGAGCAGCUCGCCGUGGGGAGCGCCUAUCCUUUUUGUCAAGAAGAAGGAUGGUUCACACCGGAUGUGCAUUGAUUACCGGGAGUUGAACAAGCUGACGGUCAAGAACUGUUACCUGUUGCCGAGGAUCGAUAAUUUGUUCGAUCAGUUGCAGGGAGCAUCUUGGUUCUCCAAGAUCGAUUUGAGGUCGAGGUAUCAUCAGGUAAGGGUGCGAGAUGAGGACAUCCAGAAGACAGCGUUCAGGACUCGUUAUGGGCAUUAUUAGUUUGUGGUGAUGCCUUUCGGACUCACCAAUGCCCCGGCAGUGUUCAUGGAUCUCAUGAACAGAGUGUGCAGGCCGAUGUUGGAUCGGUCGGUGAUCGUGUUCAUCGACGAUAUUUUGGUGUAUUCGAGAUCCAAAGAGCAGCAUGAGGAGCAUUUGAGGGAGAUCCUCGGAGUUCUGAGAUCGGAGAGGCUUUACGCCAAAUUCUCCAAGUGUGAUUUCUGGUUGCGAGAGGUCCAGUUCCUAGGGCANNNNNNNNNNNNNNNNNNNNNNNNNNNNNNNNNNNNNNNNNNNNNNNNNNNNNNNNNNNNNNNNNNNNNNNNNNNNNNNNNNNNNNNNNNNNNNNNNNNNNNNNNNNNNNNNNNNNNNNNNNNNNNNNNNNNNNNNNNNNNNNNNNNNNNNNNNNNNNNNNNNNNNNNNNNNNNNNNNNNNNNNNNNNNNNNNNNNNNNNNNNNNNNNNNNNNNNNNNNNNNNNNNNNNNNNNNNNNNNNNNNNNNNNNNNNNNNNNNNNNNNNNNNNNNNNNNNNNNNNNNNNNNNNNNNNNNNNNNNNNNNNNNNNNNNNNNNNNNNNNNNNNNNNNNNNNNNNNNNNNNNNNNNNNNNNNNNNNNNNNNNNNNNNNNNNNNNNNNNNNNNNNNNNNNNNNNNNNNNNNNNNNNNNNNNNNNNNNNNNNNNNNNNNNNNNNNNNNNNNNNNNNNNNNNNNNNNNNNNNNNNNNNNNNNNNNNNNNNNNNNNNNNNNNNNNNNNNNNNNNNNNNNNNNNNNNNNNNNNNNNNNNNNNNNNNNNNNNNNNNNNNNNNNNNNNNNNNNNNNNNNNNNNNNNNNNNNNNNNNNNNNNNNNNNNNNNNNNNNNNNNNNNNNNNNNNNNNNNNNNNNNNNNNNNNNNNNNNNNNNNNNNNNNNNNNNNNNNNNNNNNNNNNNNNNNNNNNNNNNNNNNNNNNNNNNNNNNNNNNNNNNNNNNNNNNNNNNNNNNNNNNNNNNNNNNNNNNNNNNNNNNNNNNNNNNNNNNNNNNNGAGAGGUGCUUAACCUGCCGUAGGGUUAAGGCCGAGCACCAGAGACCGCAUGGUAAGUUGCAGCCGUUGGAGGUUCCCGAAUGGAAGUGGGAACAGAUUACCAUGGAUUUUAUCACCAAAUUGCCAAGGACUGCUAGGGGAGUCGAUGCAAUUUGGGUGAUUAUGGACAGGUUGACAAAGAGCGCCCACUUCCUUGCUAUCAGUGAUAGCUCUUCCGCAGAGAAGUUGGCAGAGAUAUACGCGAAGGAAGUGGUAUCUCGACAUGGAGUGCCGAUCUCGAUUGUCUCAGACCGAGAUGUGCGUUUCACUUCUAGGUUCUGGAAGAAGUUUCAUGAGGAGUUGGGUACUAGGCUGCAUUUUAGUACCGCAUAUCACCCCCAGACUGAUGGGCAGAGUGAGCGGACAAUUCAGACGCUCGAGGAUAUGCUCCGGGCUUGUGUGUUGGAUUUCGGGGGGAGUUGGGACACGUAUUUGCCCUUGGCAGAGUUUUCCUACAACAACAGCCAUCAUUCGAGCAUUGGUAUGCCACCCUUUGAGCUGUUGUAUGGGAGGAGGUGUCGAACUCCCAUUUGCUGGGGUGAGGUCGGGCAACGUGUUAUGGGUAGUACAGAGAUUGUACUGCAGACGACUGAGUAGAUACAGCAGGUCAGGCAGAGGUUAUUGACCCCUCAGAGUCGUCAGAAAAGUUAUGCAGAUAGGCGUCGGUCCGAGCUCGAGUUCCAGGUCGGCGACUUUGUACUCCCGAAGGUCUCUCCUUGGAAAGGAGUGAUCCGAUUCAGGAAGAGAGGCAAGUUGGGGCCCCGUUAUAUCGGUCCUUUUCGGAUAAUUGCAAGGGUAGGCAGGGUAGCCUACCGGUUGGAGCUACCUGCAGAGUUAGGUCAGAUCCAUGACACUUUCCACGUGUCGCAAUUGCGGAAGUGUAUAGCCGAUGAGUCGGCAGUGGUACCAUUGGAGGAUAUUCAGGUGGAUGCGAGCCUGAAUUAUGCUGAGAGACCGGUGGCAAUCAGAGAUCGGAAGAUCAAGGUUUUGAGGAACAAGGAGGUGCCUUUGGUUUUGGUUCAGUGGCAACAUCGGAAGGGGUCCGAGAUGACUUGGGAGUCAGAGUCGGAGAUGCGAGGGCAGCAUCCAGAGUUGUUCGAGGAAUGAGACUUCGAGGGCGAAGUCUAGUUCUAGUGGGGGAGAAUUGUAACACCCCGAGAUUCAGGUAUAUUCCUUUCAUCCUUGUUCUUUAUUGUUUGGGCAUGUUUAGUCCUUGAGUGGAGGGUUUGUAGCAAGUGAGUACGCUGGGCGUACCAGAGGGGUACGCUGCGCGUACUCACGCGCUUAAUUUGGACGCGGAGUCGCCAAGGUACGCUGGGCGUACCUAGAGUUACGCCGGGCGUACCCGGCCCAGGUGCAAAAACCCUAAUCCUCCUUGUGCACUAUUUAAAGGGUGUUAUGGCUCAUUCCUUAGCCUCCAUAUCAGUGAGUGAAACCCUAAAAGAGAGCCCCAUCGUUCUUAGUGUGUGAGAGUGUUGAUUUGAGCUUGUUGGUGCUUUAGAGGCUUGGUGAAGAAGAAGGAAAGGAGAUCUUGGAGGCUAAAGCUUGAGGUGCCAUUUUGGAUCUGAGAUCUACAGAGGAAAGAGCUACUCUUGGAGGUAUAAAGUUCAAAACUUUCCUCUUCUUUUGGUUGUUGUUGUAUGUGUCCUUUUUAGGGCUAAAAACCCCAAAGGUGGAGACUUUAUGAGUGUAAAGUGCUCCAUGGUCCGAGAUCUGUCCCUUUUCAGUGUUAUUAGUGAUGUAGAGCCAUAAAGUUCCCAUCUUGGAUGUUACUUUGGAGUCAUGCAUGUGUUUUAAGCCUUCUAGAGUUGAAGGUUGGAUCAUUUUGGGAGUUAGUGACUUGUUCAGCCAUGCAAAGGCUUAAAGUCAUCAACUUUAUGGAUUAAGGGGCUUAGAAGGGGUCAGAUCUAAAUUAUGGACGUAGGUCUUAACUGAUUAAGACCUCAAGAGCAAGAGGGCUGAUGCAGGGGAGUACGCCGAGCGUAAUUCCUAGUACGUGCCGCGUACUGGGAGGCGUUCCCCGAUUCUGUGGUGCAGCCAGGUACGCCCAACGUACACAUCUGGUACGCACAGCGUAACCCGAAGAGUUGACUUUUGGUUGACUUUUAGGGUAUGGUCUAAUGUGGGGCCUUUGAGCUAUGAGAGGGGUAAAAUGGUCUUUUACCCUUCUGAGAGUGUCAUAAGAGAACAUAGUCUAGCCUUUGAGAGUUAUAUUAAAUAGAGUGUUAUUUUCAUAUGAUUAGGCGGAGGCUAGGCCAGCGUUUACCGAGUCAGAGAUUUACCGAGAUACCCGAGGUGAGUCUUCUCACUAUACUUUACCUAGUGUGGUAACAGAGUUAAGAGACAGAGUAUUAUAGAGUUAUAUGCCAGUGUGAUUGCAUGUUAUUAUGUGUUGUGAUUUAUUGUGAUAUGUGAUAUGCAUGAUUCAGAGUUACAGAGUUGGGACUUUCGGGUCCCUAGAGUUAGGGCCAGAGGGCCCACAGAGAGUUGGGGCUGGAGGGCCCCACUGAGACACAUUGACCAGAGGGUCAACAGAGUUACAGCCUCGAGUGGCUAUUAUGUGAUUAUUGUGGUAUUUUGGGGAAAUUCACUAAGCUUAUGCUUACAGUGUUCAGUGUUAUGUGUUUCAGGUACCAGUGAUGACCGCGGGAAGGCGCCGACUUGAUUCGUACACACAUAUGGGAAUUGGAUGUAUUUUGAUCUUGGGAGACAUUGUGAUUUGAAAACUUGAUGUUAUGACGUUUUGUGAACGAAUUGUUUAAUUAAAAAUGUGUUUUCAAAAGUGAAAAAUUGUUUUAAUUUUUACGGUGUUACAAUUGCCAUCCCUUUUAGAUUUUACAAGAAUCCAUUCAUCUAGAAUGACAAUGCAUGGCUUCAGAAUCAGGCAUUCUUUAUCAGUGAAAUGCGUUGAAUAACCCUUUUCACAAAUCUGAGAAACGCUCAACAGGCUAUGCUUUAACUCGGGAGCAUAAUUGACAUUCUCAAAACUCAGCACUCCGUUAGACACUUUUCCUCUUUGAGUGAUCUUCCCGCCUUCACCUCCCGCAAAGGAAACGUAUCCCCCAUUAAAAUUUUGAAUGUCGUUCAGCUGGGAGAUGUCUCAUGUAAUGUGUCGGGAACAGUCGUUGUCGACAUACCAAGGUCUGACGACAUUCCUCCGCAACUGUCGGGGACCCUUAACACUCACACAUUUAUCCAUUUUAUGUUUUGACUUUGUAACGUUAUUGGAAACACUUUCAGAUGGUGAUGAUGAUUGGUCAGAAGCAGAUUUGGGUACCCACUGGUAUUUAUCUUUUGAAGAUUUCACAGGUUAUUUGGAAAUGGUGUUCUUUAUCUUUGAGCGUUUAGCUUUCCGACUAAAAUUAGUCGAAGAUCCAGACGAUCCCUUUGACGAAAUCAAUUUUGACUUAGUCGCAUUCGAUUUCGGCAAAGCACCUGUGGCUGAUUUAGUGAAAACCUGUUUAUUUGAUUUAAAAAAGGACCUUUUUAUUAUGAUUAACCUUCCAAUCAUCAUCUUGAGGGCGAGAUCUUGAGGACUUUCUAGUUAAAGACCUUCCUCGAGACUCGUUCUCUCUUCUUGGUGAGGAAAAAUGCACAAAUUCCGUAUUGGGACAAUUUCAAGCGAUGUGACCAGCAGUAGCACAGUUGAAAAAAAAAAUUAUUAUUACUAGAACUAAUACCGCCCUUAUCAGAUGUCAUGCUCUUAUCUACUUUUCUAAAUUUCCCACAUGUGCACGUGCAGGAGUUAGAUUGUGUAACAGAUGUAGAAGGUGUGGAUGUACUAGUGUCAGAUUUGGCAGUUUUCUCAAAAGCAACACCACAAUUUUCAGAAUUAUCAGUUUUAGACAUCAUAUCAUCACAAACAAAAGUAUCAGUCUUAACAUUAGACACAAACUCAUCACAAAUAGAAACACCAAACUUAGACACCAAAUUAUUUGACUCAAACUUCUCAUCCCAUUGCUUUCAUUGGUUUAUUGACACAUCUACAUUUGAAGUAGAAAUGUUAGUAUCCAAAACCCUAGCAUUAGGUCUUGUUGCUUGUUCAGCAGCUGGUUUACCAUAAAUCAUGUAUGGUUCUCUAUCAAUCUCUUCUUGUGUCAAAGGAGUAGAAAUAUAGUUGUGAUUAAAUGGAGGAGGGACACUCUCAUAUCCUAUACCUACCUGUUUUUGGUCUUUCCACUGUAUUUGUUCUUUAAUUAUUUUUGCAACCUUUUCACUUGACACAUCGAACUUCUUAAAGUUAAAAUCAGCAUUUGCAAAACGAAUUUUCAAUGUGUCAAGUUCUGCAGUUACAGCAACAAGUUUGCUUUUAAUGUGUCAAGUUCUGCAGUUAUAACAACAAUGAACGAGUUUUCAAUGUGUCAAGGUCAUUUUGCUAGAGAAUGACCUGGUUCAUGGCAAUUAAAGCAGCGGAGUUUGCCUUUGUUAAACCCAACUUUCUUUUCUGCAUUCAUCCCCCAGUUAUUUUUGCUUAUCCUUUUGGAGAAUUGUUUAGCUCUGAACACUGCCAUGGCAAUUUGCCAUGUUAUGUCCAUUUCUUCAACAUCUUCUGGAUGGAUUUGGUCCGAACCAGCAAAUAACAAUUGAUGGGGCAGUUCACCAGCUACAAAAGCAUUAUAACAGUUAGCCAAACCAGUUACAAGAGCCAAGUUCUCUUUUCUUUGGAAACAGGAAUUUGAGCAGAAACUGGAACACUUGUCUUUAAAGAUGAAGCAACUUGGGGAUGAGGUUGGGGAGCAGCAAAUGACGAUUGAGGAGUGAUAAAUGAUGAAUGAGAAUUAACAAAAAGUGGAACUUGAGGAUUAGUAAAGGAUGAGAAAGCAUUGUUUGAUUGAAUCCCGAGAUUGGCAGAAGAAUAUGAGUUAAAAUGGUUGAUCUCUCUUUGUUUGUCAUCCAAAUCACAAGCUUUAAUGAUGGCCAUGAGUUCAACCAAACUAAGUAGAUUGAGAUUCUUGGUUUUCUUGAUGACAGCAACAUUCACAUCCCAUGUCUUUGGGAGAGAAUUAAGCAACUAAGGAUUUUAUGUCCGUACACAAGAUCACAACUGUACAUGCCAACUGUACACUCCAACCAUACACUUCAAUUGUACACUUCAACCAUACACUUCAACAGUACACUUCAACCGAACACUCCAACCGUACACUUGAUUAUAGUCAAGGAUCUUGAAUGGAGUAUGGCCGUACACGCGUGUCCGGCCGUACAUGCCGCAACUAAGCUCAACCAUACACACUAGGUUUAACCGUACACACCAAAAACACUUGAAUUCCGAGUAAGUUUUGAUUCUAAGUCUUUGAAUGUUGAUCAGAAGCAGAAACUGAAUAGGUAAUCUCGAAUUAGUCUAAAAAAUGAUGAAGUUUUCUGGUCGUACACACAUGAAGAUCCAAUUUGACACUGAUUUGGCUCUGUUACCAGUUGUAAGUCCCGAUUUCAAUGAUCCAAACCAGUGAUCAAACAUAUAUCAAUCAAUUAGAAUAAGAAUGGAGUAGAGGAAAGAUUAAAUCAAGCAUGCACACGUCAAUAUCACAAAAACGUCAGGUACACCUUGGAUACACACACAUUCGUCAACCUUAAAUUGACACAGACACACUCUAUUUAUAGGACCACCAGAUGUACACGUGUGUACAACCGUACACCCAUGUACGGCCGUACACACGAGUCCAUCCGUACAUAACCACACAACAAGCUACAAACAUCAUUCGAAUCCCAGAAUCCUACCAAGACCUAUACAAGAUGGAUGCCUAGCCCAAACCACUAUAUUAUGACCUAUCAUAUCCAUAUAAGAAAAUGUAUAUGAGCAUUUAUGUAUAUUAAGAGCAUGUAUGAGGUAUAUGUUAGAAGCAUGUAAUAGAGCAUGUAAAUAUACCUAGAGUACGUUAAGAAGAUUAGAAGUGUAUUUAGUAAUACACAAGAGAUGACAGAAAGAGAAGAAGAUGAUAUGCAAUAUAAUCAUAAGAGUAAAUAUGAAUGUCUAGACAUCAUUGGUAUUGUGUAGAAUACCAAUAUGUUAUUAAACCUAGAUAAGGAUUAAGUAUUUAAUGAAUUAAGUACUAGAAGAGAAAGAUCAAAUAAUAUCUUAAUGAGACAAAGUGGUAGAUUUUCCAUGGGACAAGUGUCAUGUAAUGAGUGACAUAACAAAGAUAAAGAUGUAUAGAAAGAUGGUUCCUUCUGGGACAAGAGAUACAGGUUCCUACGAGGACAAGUGAUAGAGGUUCCAUCGGGAAUAGAAAGUAUGAUUCCUUUAGGAAUAAGAAUAUGGUUCCUACGGGAGAGAGAGUAUGGUUGCUACAAGGGCAAGAGUAUGGUUCCUUCGGGAAUAGAGAGUAUGAUCCCUUCGAGAAUAAGAUUAUGUUCCUACGGGGAAAGAGAUGAUGAUUCCCUUUGGAAAUGUAGAUAGAUGGUUCCUACGGGAAUCAAGAUUGUAUAUGAUUAGAAAAGAUGGAUAAAGGUUCCUUGAGAGGAACAAUAAAAUAAAGUUCUUUGUAAGAACUUAGAUGUAAUCCAUGAGGGAUUAUGGGUAAGAAAUCUAUAAUGGAUUCAAGAGAAGAAGGAAGAUCAAGGAUCUGUGGGAUCAUAAGAGAUAUAAGUAAGACUAGAUAACAAUACCUAGUAAUGUUGUGGGAUGUUGUUUUCCCUUAGAACAUAUAGAAAAGUAGAGUAUGAGAUGUGACCGAUGCGUUUAGAUGGGAAAAAAAUGUUGAGGCAUUAAAGCUAUGAAAGAGCAAAUAAGAGAUAGAGUAGAGAAGAGAAAGUCUAAAGUAGAGAAAGAGUACAAAAGAGAUGGAUAAAAGAAGAGAAAGAACAUCGGACAGAGUAAGAGAUAGUGAAGAGACAUAGUAUAGAAGAGAGAUAAAUAGAGUAUAAGUAGAGUAUGAGAAGAGAUUAAGAUAAUAGUGUGAGAAUCAGAGUAUAUGACAUAGAAAGAGUUAUAUGAGAUAAGAAAGAGUAUAAAGAAGUAUUAUAAAAUAUUAGAAGAGAUAGAUGGAAGGAAAAGGAAUAGUAGUGUAUGAUAUUAGAAAUGAGUUAAAUCAAAAAGUAUGAGAAAAAGAAGUAAAGACGGAAGCUAAGAAAGUAGAAAGAAUAAUUCACUAGAAAAAUUGUGUCUGAUGUUUUAGAUAUGUUUAUGUUUUGUAGGUUCAGGUAACAACAACCAUGGUACCAUAAGAGAAGACAUGAGUACAAGGACAAGAAGUAGAUAGUGGGAUGUUAUUUAUUUUAUUUCCUGCUUGUUCAUUUGUAUGUAAGAUUUUAUUGUAAACUAUUAUUUAUCCUCGAAAGUUAAGUAUUUUAAUUUGAGUAGAAUUCUGCAAAUGUUAAUAGAACUUUGAUAUUUCCCUUACAUUAGAUGUUAUAAGAUCUGAGUCAUUACAUUUCUAAAUAAUAACAACGUCCUUUUGGGUUGCCCUCAAGAUACAAAUGACAUAUUAAAACAUAUAGACAUAAGUAGAGAAUAAGUUUAUUAAUUUAUUAUGUUUAAUAAAUUAAUCAAAAACUAUUUUGGAAUUAUUUAGGAAUUGAUUAAUUCAAGGGGUUAAAUAAUAAUUCGUUAAAAACUGAUUAAUUGGAAUAUAUUCUAGGGCCCUUAUCAAAUAACAGCAAUUUGAAAUUCUCCAUCCAUAUUGGAAGCGAUAAGAUUUUGAAUUUUAUCUCCAGCCCACGUGGGAUGAGAGACGAAACAAUGGAAAGGAUGCAAGGCUAUAAAUAGGGAUCUAGGGAUCUCAUAAUUCCUUGCACCUUAGCUUUAAUAUUUUAUCAAUUCUGCUCUUUUCUUCUAUGGGAUGUUUUCCAAACCCUCUUACGAUUUGUGAAGAACAAUUCAUAUCCUAGUUUUGUUUUGGUUCUUUCUUUGUAGUCGUUGGGUGUGAUUCCGUUAGAGGGAUUAUACUUUGGGUACUCUCAUCCAAGAAACAUGAUUGGAUCAAGAAUGGGUCACAAUGCAUAAUGAAGGGGUUAAGAAGAUCAAGAUCAUGCUACACAAGAGGUUAGUAAUUCUAUCUUUCUUAUUAGAUUUACAGUUUUAAAGUAGGUUGCUAUAAUUAGUAAAACCUAGAUCCAAGGGAGCAUGUACACAUAGGUAUUUUGUUUUAUCUCCAAUGCCUUGAUCGUAUGUAUAUAUAAAUAGAUAACCCAACACAUUUGUCCCCAAUAACACACGAUGAAAAUGUCAUUCAUCAAUAUAACAUUGUGAUUUUUACCAUAAAAAAUCUUUUAUUUAGAUCACCUUUUUAACAAAAUAUGGUAACGGAAGGCUUGGUGAUUUAUUUUAAAACAUAUUUUAAAUCACCACGUUACUUCAAAAUCAAUAUCACAUUUCCAACCCAAUUAAAACAUAACGAAAGUAAAUUUUUAAGUGGGUAAAACAUCAAACAUGUCCAAUAUGGUAUAAUCUAAUCAAUCAUAAUUACCUCAUAUGUAACCUCUCUCACCAAGGCCAAACUCCUAAGAUGCCUACAAUAAGCGUAUGACACAAAAGAGUUAAUACACAAGUGCCAGCCCCUGCUAAGUGAGUUCAUAAAGGUUGCAUAUAAAACAUACAAACCCCAAAUGGGUAAGUCAUUCAUUUUACAAUGAAGCAUGAAAUAAGAAACAAAUACCACUUAGCAAACAAUCGCAUAUCAUAAUCAUUCACUCACAUGUUCCACUGCAUACAUGCAUAAAUUUUUAACCAUAAUUCUACCACGUAACAUCUAGGAUCAACCCUAUAGCAUAUAAACAAUCGUAUAAUAUAUAAGCAAUCACAUUUUAUAUAACAUACAUUUCUUUAUAUAUUCAACCUUUUAUUGUAUGACCAACCUUUUGUUAUAUAUCGAAACCUUUAUUAUAUAACCAACCUUUUUGUUAUAUUUUCAAUGUUUUAUUAUAUAUCUAACCUUUUGUUAUAUAUUUAAACUUUUAUUAUGUUUUUCCAACCGUAUGAUAGACAAGUGUCCCUUAAUGCAACCUAACCCAAGAGAAACACCUUGUUCACUACUUGUGUGCACGUCCAAUCAAAUGCUCUAAGUGGAUAAUGACUUCCACCUAAAACACCAACCCUAAGACUCCACUUUCGCAACUCCAACGUUGCAAAGUGUAAGUACUUCGCGAUGUUGUUCAGGAAUCGGUACAAGCGGUGCCAAUUCUACCACAACACCUCCCAACUCCUUUGAGAUGCCUAAUAUGUCCAUGAAUGAGAGAUCAACUUCACUCCAUCCCAUAAAAUCUGAAGUACCCACAAAUCAUGUGUCACAUGACCAUAUAGAUGGACAUACAACUAACAACCUUUGUGGAUAUAGAUCUUCCUAUACUUUCAACCUAGUAGGCAUCCUCAAUGAUCCAUAUAAGGUUUUAGGAAAAUAUUAUCAACUGCCCAAACCCUCUAGGGGUGUCAAAAAGUCCUAUGGGACCCUAUUCCCGUGGGGUCCACAUCUCGUAUGGGGGGUAUUUGUUUAAAUAAAUCGGGGGUGGGGGUGGGNNNNNNNNNNNNNNNNNNNNNNNNNNNNNNNNNNNNNNNNNNNNNNNNNNNNNNNNNNNNNNNNNNNNNNNNNNNNNNNNNNNNNNNNNNNNNNNNNNNNNNNNNNNNNNNNNNNNNNNNNNNNNNNNNNNNNNNNNNNNNNNNNNNNNNNNNNNNNNNNNNNNNNNNNNNNNNNNNNNNNNNNNNNNNNNNNNNNNNNNNNNNNNNNNNNNNNNNNNNNNNNNNNNNNNNNNNNNNNNNNNNNNNNNNNNNNNNNNNNNNNNNNNNNNNNNNNNNNNNNNNNNNNNNNNNNNNNNNNNNNNNNNNNNNNNNNNNNNNNNNNNNNNNNNNNNNNNNNNNNNNNNNNNNNNNNNNNNNNNNNNNNNNNNNNNAGGCGGGGGAACAAGGGAACUUCGGGGGUGGGAGUGGGGAUGCAAACCUUGUCCUGUUUGCCCGGUUUGAAAUCCCUAAAAUCCUCUACGCAUAACCAUGCAUUGUCAUAUAUACAUUAAAUAAAUCAUGUGAUUCAUACCAUCCAAAUGUUUAUUAAAACAUGAAUUAUAUUCAUAGCCAACACUUCAAAGAACAGUCAUACAUCAUUCUUUGAAACAUCUUAGGCUUGCAUACCAUAUACAUUAAAUUCAUGAAAGAGUAAGCAGCAUAACAAUUGGCUCCUAACAUGAAUCAAAUCAUAAUCUACGAAUUACACGUUUCAAUUAUGCACCUUAGUGAGUUAAAACAAUGAACUCACCUUUUACAUUAACGAAACACUUCUUCUACUUCAAGUCUUGAACUUACUUGAAGUUCUCAAGCCCUCACCUAAAAACCAUACAUAACAACUAAUUAACAAAUAAACUAUAUUUUUCAAAAAUCCAUGAGGAUGAUUUUAGGCCUUCAAUUGCAAAACUACAAAUUCCCGUCGACGUCCUGUGACAUCCCCAAAAUCUCGGCCAGAAAAGACCGAUUUCAUUUAUGCUUUUUAAAAUAAUUUCAAAGUAAAUCCUUUUGAUUUAAAAGAGUUGCGGAAUUUGUUCCCAAAAACAAAAUAUGAUAAAAUAAUAUUUAUCAAAACAUUACAUCAAGAGAUGCGUUUUCAUUAUAUAAUCAAAACUCGGGAUGUCAUGUUCCGAUACAGACCAUAAAGCAUAAACGAUAACAUUACAAGUCAUUCAACAAAUAUAUACAUAUAUAGACUUGUAAACAAAACAACUUGAUGAUUCAUCCAUCUUAUGCCCUCGCGCCACUACCUGUAAUACGAAUAAACUGAGUGGGUCAGGCUUGGGAGCCUGGUGAGCAUAUAGGGUUUUCAACCCACAAUAAAUAAUUAUAUUUAAUUUCACCAACCAAAAAUAACCCGAUUACCUAUUCCCGUUAUCCUCACUUUAUGUCCCUAAAACAACAUCUAUCUCAAGGGACCUAAUCUAGGAUUUUCAUCGGGACGGACAUUACUGUUAAGGGGUUUCCUCAACAAUAGAUAUCCUAAAGGCAACAAUGAGGGGGAUAGAGUACACCGGGGAACACAUCGUUCACAACACCUACAGGUUAUGAACCUGCUAGCGUUCCACUGGACUGUUUAGAAAGAGUCCGUGGUCGUUAUCCAUACUCCGCUGAAUAACUAGAUCAACAACAACAACAACAUCGAGGCCUCUCAUCUGUUUAUUACACAUCAACUAUCUACCCAUGUUCUACCCAACAUAUUAGUAGAUAAAAAUAUACAUUUGUAUACAUAGUUUAAAGAAAACCUGUAUAGCAUGCUUGAAUCAACACAUAUAUCACAUAACAGAUGAGGCACACACACACAUAACACAUAUCUCAUAAAGAAAUAAGCAGAUCUAUAAGAUAGAAGAGAGUGAAUACUCAUUCACACAUAACACAACCAAAUAUAUACACAUAGCACGUAUUUUUAUAUAAAAUACUUCGUAUUAUUGUAUUAGAAGAAAUAACUACACACUCACUUGAUCAGAAGAUGAUCGGACAGCACUACGACUUAUAGAAGUAGUAAUCCACAGCAGAUCUGGAAGAUCUCCUCGAAAAUCGAACUUCUCGCGGGCAGAGCUUCGACUCGGGAACCGCGCUUCUCGGGAUCUUCGGGAUCUCGGGACUUGCCUCGGGGCUAGAGUAUGAUACCGGGGCUUCGGGGUAGCUUCGGCACGAAAAACGAUGCAAAAGACUAGAGAGAAGAGAAGAAAAUGAACAAGAAAUGAGGCUGCCUUCGGAUCCUUUAUAUAGAGGCUGGAACCUCGGAGUACGCGGGGCGUACAGGCGUACGCAGCGCGUACGCGUCCGAAAUCGUCAUUGCAUGCGUCAUCCGAAGUGUCGACACUAUCGGAGUUACGCGAUAGCGUAACCUCGUACGCGGGGCGUACUCCGGAUUACACCGGUGACACGGCUUCGGAUAAUGCCUCCGAUUUUGAAUUAAAUAAAAAUAUAAAAUGAUUAAUAAACUUCGGAAAUUCAUAACUUCUUCAUACGAACUCCGUUUUCGACGUUCUUUAUAUCCACGCGAAGGUGAGACCACGCUCUACGACUUUCGUUUAGACUCCGUCGGCUAAUUUUGACUUUAUUUUUAUUAAUUAUUUUUAAUAGGCCGCGACAGAAACUUUCGUUAUAAAUUCAUAACUUCUUCGUUUGACGUCCGUUCUCGCCUAACUUUUUAUCGCUUCGAUACCAACAAUGAGAUCUUCGAUUCUCAUUUAGAUUGCUUCGGCUAACAACCGCUCGAUCUCAAAUCGAGUAAAACAGGCUGUAUAUCGCUAAGCCGGAACUUCGAUAAAUCAUAACUUCCUCAUACGAAGUCAGAUUUGGGCGUUCUAUAUAUAUUCGGAAACCUCGUUUCAACUACUACAACAUUAACCAAAGAUAUUAAGUUUAUUUUACACUUAAAUUUUGACGCUUAUUUUUAUUCUUAAUUAAUCAAACCACAUAAUUAAGCAAUUAAGCACAAAACACAUAAUACUCAAAUAAUACAAUCUUAUUAUUUCAAAACGGGUUACAAAGGUUAACCUAGACUAUUAUAUUGCUAAAAAUGGCAAGCCCGGAAACACAGGCGUUACAAUUCUCUCCACCUUAGAAUGAUUCCGUCCCCGGAAUCACACAUCAACAAACAAAUGCGGAUAGCGACUCAACAUGUCACUCUCCGUCUCCCAGGUGAGAUUCGGCCCAUUCGUGUGUUUCCAUCGGACAAGCACUAACCCAACCAUUUUGCGUCGCAACUUCUUAGUCUUUCGGUCAACAAUUGCCUCUGGUUCUUCAAUCAACCUUUUGUUCUCAUCAAUUCUCAAUUCAGAAAUUGGAAUUAUAUCGGGAACUUCUCCCGUGAACUUCCUCAAAUAACACACAUGAAAGGUGUUGUGAAUUCCAUUCAGUUCUUCGGGUAAUUCGAGCUUGUAAGCUUGAUUCCCAAUCCUCUGAAGGACUCUAAACGGUCCAAUAAACCUUGGACUCAACUUUCCCCUUUUACCAAAUCUUAUAAGUCCCUUCCACGGCGAGACUUUAAGCAAAACCGAAUCUCCAACCUCAAAAGUCAUCGGUCUUCGCUUCUUGUCAGCAUAGCUCUUUUGACGAUCUUGAGCUGCUAACAUUCUUUCCCUAAUUAUUUUCAACUUUUCAGCAGUUUGAUGAACCAUCUCCGGUCCCAUAAACUGCUUUUCCCCAGCCUCAAGCCAACAAGACGGCGUACGACACUUCUGUCCAUACAAAGCUUGAUAAGGUGCCAUCUUUAUGCUCGAGUGGAAACUAUUAUUGUAGGAAAAUUCUACCAAAGGUAAAUGUUCAUCCCAGUUACCUAGGAAUUCCAGGGUCCAUGCUCUUAGCAUAUCUUCAAGUGUUUGUAUUGCUCUUUCACUCUGACCAUCAAUCUACGGAUGGUAAGCUGUACUUAAACAUAACUUGGUACCCAUUUCCUCUUGUAGACUUUUCCAAAAUCGCGAGGUGAAACGGCUGUCACGAUCUAACACAAUCGUUAACGGAACACCGUGAAGCCUCACUAUUUCUUUCAUGUAAGAAUUCACAAGCUUUUCCAUAGACCAUUUCUCCUUGGCUGCUAUGAAAUGUGCACUCUUAGUGAAUCGAUCAACGACCACCCAAAUCAUGUCGUGACCAUUCUUUGUUCGGGGUAGUUUAGUGACAAAAUCCAUAGCAAUGUCUUCCCAUUUACCCAUAGGCACGGGUAAAGGUUCUAAACUCCCAUAUGGUUUCUGAUGUUGUGUCUUGACUCUCGCACAAGUCACACACUCGGCCACAUACUUUGCAACAUCAAACUUCAUCGUCGGCCACCAGUAGUAGGGUUUCAGGUCCCUAUACAUUUUAGUGCUACCUGGAUGAAUCGAGUACAUGGUCUUGUGAGCUUCUUCCAUCAGAAGAUCCCUAAUUCCUCCUGACUUAGGUACCCAAAUACGAUCUUGGAAUACCUUCAGUCCAUGACCGUUAGUACCAAACACCAACGUUUUACCCAACCGUUCCUCCUUUCGGUCAUUAUUCUCAGAAGUUUCCUCUUGAGC
rnacentral:lncRNA from 1 species